UCCGGAACAUGAAUUGUGAGGGAAUAACGAGGAGCCCAGUUCCUGCUUUGACUGAAUCCCCCAUUGAUCGAGGGGUCAAACAGAGAAGACAUCACACACACAAGUAAAAUCGCCCACACAAGGAGACGUCAGAUAUAGGGUACAUAUUCCACCAGCACAGGACAGCAUCUCCUGCACCCGGAAGGCAAGGCACGUCUGAUCUUCAAGAGUAGUCAAAAUAAAUCCAAGUACAUAGCAUCACUAGGAAACGAAGAAGAUCGAAAUCUCCAGUCUUCCAGAGGAGAGAGGCACCUCGGAAUCACGCCAAGCAUCACCCCCAAGCCGAAGGGAAAUCUCCGAGGCCCCGUCGUGCUGAAGAACUCGUACAAAUCCAAUGGGUCAACUCCCGUCCAAUGACAAGAGGUCAGCUCUCUCUCUCUCUCUCUCUCUCUCUGGUUAUUCUUCUUCUUCUUAUACCUCCGAACUUUCUGCACGGCUGACGGCAAGUAGAAAUAAAGGUGAGGCAAAGGACUGUCGAUUACCCCACGUUGCUGGUCAGAGAGCAGUAGCUCGGCUCCGCCGCAGCAAUCUCCGAGCAGGGGUCCCUCCGUUGGUUCAUCAUCUGCUGGCCGGAGGAGGAAGAAGGGUGGGGAUCCAUGCAGGACAGGCAGACCCACUCGAGAGCGAAGGUCUCCUCGUACUCGCGGUCGUGGAUGCAUCUCCCGCACUGGUUGCACCUCGCGAUGCAGAUCGAGCAGGCCCGGCAGGGAUCUGUGCCUUGCGCCCGGCAGCCACUGACGGGGCAGUCGUAGACGACCCUGACGUGCCGGCAUCUGGGGCAUUCCUCGACGUCGAUGGCGGGGUUGUGGUCGCAGCACGAGGCCCGGUGCCGGAGGUGGUAGAACAGAGGCUUGCGGGCUCCGGUCUCUUGGCUUUGAUCCGGGCGCAGCAACCGCGUCAGGACCUCAAGGUGCUCGUGGCUUAUUCCAUAGAGGCCGCCGACGCCCAGGCUCUUUAUCCCAGCCAUGGCCGAGGACUCAAAUAGCUUCAGGCUGUCCACAACCCCCCCUAUGCUCAGCCUUGUGCACGCUGGAACAUUCAGCUGCGAUUAAGAGAAGUAGAAGGUCAUCAACCGACGUGGAAAGAGCGGAACAGACGGCUGCGCAAGAAUCUAAAGUAGAAAGCAACAAGAAACGAGAUGGACUAGUAUUGACAAGACCGAUAGGAAGUGACAUGAAAUGUAAAACAUGAACACAAGAAUGAAGUACGCUCUGGUGGUCUUCUUAGCCAGCAAAACCAGUCCCCCCCUGAUCCCAAGAUAAAUAAACGAAAGUCAAAAGAAGCUAGAUGCAAUUUUUAGCUUCGAGGGCCCUCUUUAUAAAACGAUGGCCAAGAAAGGUACUUCCCCUGUGGCUACAAAUUACCAUUUAGGAUAUACUCAAUUCUAAUCUAGUAUGCACACCAUUGAUGAGAUGGAUAUGGCUUCAAACCAACACUAUCAGCCGAUUAUCCACCACACUAAAUGAUCGUCCAUCAUUUCCAUCACACAGCCCCGAAAAACGAACACUGUUUGAAAGUUAUAUUAAUGAUUACAUCUCGAUAUAACCAAUAACAGAGCAACAAUCUUACUGAGCAUGAUCAAAACAAUUUUACCGAGCAAUUAUAACUGAAUUCUUCUUCUCUAUUCGUCACAAAAUGGACAAGAGCACUACGCUACCGUCCAGAGAAAGAUGUUUCUGUAAAAGGAAAAAAUGGAGAAGGUGGUACCACUAUUUCGGUCCACUACAAACUUUGUUUUGGGAGUGUUUGCCAUCAAACAUUAUGUUCAUUCUCUUCCGUUAUAGUUUACAAUGAAGAAGAUUAAGUUUUAUUUCUAACCGUGAUAGUGGAUAACAUUUCAUUGGACAAGAGACCCCGGGAACUGCUUAUGGCUAUGCAAUCAAAGGAUUCCAUAAUUCUAUUUACAAAGCAGUGGCUAAUGAAAAAAUUACAGACCAUCAAAUGGAGGAAAUUCCCAAAAAAAACCCGUUUACAUAACUAUUUAUUAUCAUUAACCAGAGAACAAAUGUUGGAAAAAGAUCGCGUGCAUAUCCCCACCAACUAAAUUCAUUACCUAACCCACUGCUCUGUUUUCGAAACCCAUCAGUAGCGUUCAACACAGUCAUCACAAAAUAUAAUGUACAUAAACAACACUUCUGUACAUGUCCAGGGUUUAUGAUUAUAACUCGGAUGUUGCCCCGGACAGAAGAUGAACAAAGAAAAAUUUAUCCAAACAACGGAGUAAUCAAUAUAGGCAUGGUCCUAGAGACGCACACAUCUCUAGGAGGGGUGAGAGUAUGGACUCCUACCCACUGCGCUUUAUGUCAACAAGUUGAUGGGCGAAGAAACAAUUAUAGAGUUAAAGGCAAUCGUGGAUACUCAAGAAACCACAACACACCAUAUAUACUAAAUAAUUAAAAAAUGUAUAUUUUAAAAUCCUUAUAGAUGCUAAAACACUCCUCUUGCUAGGCCAAAAACAUGUUCCUUUAAAAUGACAGAAGGAAGAUACCGAAAAUGUUCCUCAUUCAUUCAAAUAAGGACGAAAAUUUCAAAACCCCUGACGAUGAAGAUCAAUAUGGCAAUGAUUGCAAGGCUUCGAAUUUCACUCUGCAUACAUGGACCUGAAAUCAACCAUAUACAUACAUUGUAUUCAUAAACACCUAUCUCUCAAGUGGAAAGGAUAAAAUACUUAGCAAGAUGAAGUUGACGGAGAACAACUUCAUCAUUCCAUCUGCAUGAUGACACACAAUCCCUAUAUAAUAAUCCGCAUAACCUUAUUCUAUUUUAAAAGCAUCUAAUAAUCUCCAAUCAAAAUAUUAAAUGUUGAGUGUAUAUUUACACAUAUAGCCGACUAUCAUUGCAAAAAGUAGGAGAUGGAAUAAACACGCCUCUAGGGACGAAUCCAUUAAAGAAUGUACUACAAAUAUUUCCACCAACUAACGCGGCAAUUCAACUGGAUCAGGCGAGAUGGUCAUCCAGCCCAAGAAAAGUUUUGUUCAAAAGCAAAGUCUAGAAACUAAAUUUCUAAAUUUAGUUUCUAGACUUUAGUCCUAAAACCACUGCAGCCUAUUAGUCCUAAAACCAAUCACUUCAAAACAGCAGACUUGCAAGAGGUGAAUGGGAAGAGCAGCUGGAAGACUGCAGCAGCUGCAACAACGAAUACUGCUGGUGAAGACGAUGACUGAUGAGAUAGUUUUUCUAAAAUUCUUCCGUGGAGGUGCCAACAGGCCAGAAACCAAGACAAGCUUUUUACCUUUGGGCAUCAAAAUCUACUCAGGAAAACACCAAAGACACAUUCCCAGCCUGAUUUCUUUCUUUUAUUUCUCUGAGUCAGGCUUAGCCAUGUAAGACAACCCAUUAUCCCCGUGGUUAUACUCCCUUUAACCCUGACUGGAAAAUAACACCAACACCCUUCCACUAGUGAACAGAGUCCCGUGAGCCUAUAUCUCCAAUCUCCGAUACCACUCUCUUCCCAGCCCUCGCCCCGAGGGUCUGCCACCCAUGCAUUCCUUAGUCAUUGCAUACAACCAGCUGGGCACCACCCCAAGCUUCAUAGAAGUCUUUUCUGUGGUAUGUUUUCCCCUGUUCUCUGAAUCUUAUGGAGUAUGGGCCUUGAAGAAGAUGACCAGGCCCAUGCCAAACUUCACAAGGCAUACCCUAGCAGACCAGUACCCUUGCCUGCUUCUUCUCUUUCCUCCACCCCUGAAAAAUGUACACUAUCCCCCAAUGUCCAUGUGGCAACCAUUGAUUGUUGUUUUCAAUUUCACGGGGGAUACAAUUCUUCUAGACGGUGAGAAAUCAUAUCUAGUCGUCUGUUUCUGAAUAAUAUGCACGACCGAUGCUCAUAAAAUGCCACGAUUAUAAUAAGUAAUAUGAUCAUAGGUCUGCACUCCAAAGUACACUUAUACCCUAGACCUUGAAUUAAAAAAAUGAACUCAAUAAACUACUGGCAAGGAUAAAGGAUUUCAAAGUCCAGACGUAACCUUGUAGGCCAUAUGCAAUUAGCAGGCAAAAGAUAACUCAUGUCAACAAAGAAAAUAAGAAGCUAUGUUCGACAUUCAAAUAUCUACAGUAGGACAAAUAACUUUACGCCAGAGCAUAGGGCGGAUUGUCUACAGGAGGUUGAGAAAUCUCGCCUAUCUUUUAAUACUUGGAAGAACACCAAUUCAUUAUCUUACGUGGCCUUUGUAGAUCAUUUUUUCCUUGGAACACCCUGUUAUGAAACUGUAUACUAUCUAAGUCAAAAUUCUGCCAAACAUAUAACAUCCAUAGACAAAUUAACUCAUAUUCGUCAUCCACUAUCUAUUCCUUUUGGUAAAACUGUAUGCAAGACAUAUAACGCAAUAAAAAAGGCCUAAACGGUUUAUGGCUCAUAGCUUGAAACACUUUUGGCUGAAUGACAAUAAUUCAAGAAGCAAUUUUCAGUAUGAUAAACGCGAAAAAAGAAAUCUCUGUCAUGAAGAGAUAAAAUAGUAAGCGUCACACAACUCUAAAAUACAUGCAAAUAUCAAAGUUUGAGAAAAUAACUUUUAAAUCAAGAAUCCAAAAACGCAAUAGACGUUAUCAACUAAAAAUGAUCCGUAAAAGAAAAAGAAUACUUCUGUAUUACAGAGGGUACAUGCAUAGGCUCCUGAUCUACACCAGUCAUUUUGUACAGCGUUAUGCAAAAGUUUCGUAAAUAAUACAAAAAGUAAAUGAUAUUAAAUACAUUCAAGGCAGCACAUGUAGAACAACAAAAGGCACAGUGACAGUAGCAUAAAGGCACAAAAAAGAGGAAAUUUAAGUCAAAAUUCAGUUAAAGAAAGGAAAGAUACAAAAAAGAGAAAACUAGUAGGGAGGAUAUAGAUGGGUGAUCAAUAAUAGCAAUCCAACUACCUUUUGGAGUCUCGAAUUGUUCUCUAGCACAUGUCUCAAGCCACUGUCUGUAAUUUGUGAGCAUUCCACGAGGCUCAAGCACUCCAGACUUCCUUUAGCCCUAUCAGUCAACCGUGAAAGGAUGUCAUCGGUUAUAUUUUUGCUUAAAGGAGGACCUAUGUGGAUGUGCCUCCACAGGAGGGGAUCUCCUCGAACUGCUGAACACAAAGUCUUGCAGACUCUCUCUACUGAGAGCAGGUCAUGAAUGUCCAGGUAAGAAAGCGCAAAUAGCAAGGCAUCAUGGGGGACAUUAGGGCCAUCGCUGUCAGCGCCACUGCAGGAGCAUUUCUCUGAAUCAAGAUGAUUAGUACCCAGGCAAUCCUCUCCCUGCACACCAAACUUCAAAGGCUUCACCUCCGGACACUCUUCCACGUGGGAAAAGUUCAAUGGAGGUUGUCUGGUGAGUACAGACGCAGAGGAACACAGAGGGGAACCACUUAUGCAGUCUUGAGCGCAAUGCGGAGAAAAACUAGUCGCAGCAUCCACGGCUGCAGAAUUCGCAGAUCUGCUGUACAUGAAAUAGUCGAAGAGGUUGUCGACAUGGGGGGCGUAGUCCCCAUAUUCAUAAUAACCAAAUCGAUCUACCACGGUGGUGGCAAGGUCCUCAAUCCAGCCAGCGAUGGCUGCUGUCCAAGUAUUUGAGUCAGCAGCCAAUCCCAUCCCAAAGGGAUCAGCAGGGAGCAGAUCAACAAUGUCAUCAUACACUGGUGUAGUCGGAGGUGGAGGUGGAGGCAGCUCAGAUCCACAGCCUAUACCCUCACUCUUCACCAUUCUGGUUGCUCCCCCUCCACUUUUCUCGCUCCUCCAUCCGGUUAUGCAAUCCUUCGGAGCCACAAAAAACUCCCAAUCGAAGUCCUUCUCCCGGAAAAAAGCGGAGGGAGCAAAUCCUCCCCCGUCAGGUGGCAUGCCCGCCGGUGAGGACGCAGUAGGGAAGAUCGUGUGCGAUGAAUAGUUGAGCGUCAUGGUUUGAAGGAAUCUAUGAAGACUGGAGUGCCAAGAUGUUGAAAAAAGGAUAGACAGAGAGGAAUAUCCCGAAUCCCAGUAGAAGAAAUAAAAACUCAGGUCACAAAGAAUACAAUGAAUACUCUAAAUUUCCUAAUUUCACAGCGUUUCAAAGGAAGGCUUCCUUAGGGAUGAUAGAAAAGACCAGGAAAUUUUCAAAUUACAUUUGGAAGAGGAAGAACAAGAAGAAGUGAAAAUCCCCGUGGUGCCGAGUCCGACUAAAAAACUCCACGGUUAAAGCUGGGAUAAAAUUGAUAGAUACGGUGAGAACGGGAGGAAAACUAAUCAACGAAAAGAGAUUACACGACGCGGGAUCUGAUAUCGUAGGUUUGGGUGACCUGGAGUUAGGGUUCCGAGGAAGAAGAUUCGGAGGGGUAGAAUCAACCUCGAGGGAGGAUUUCACGAGCUGUGCGCUCGAUCCAGCUCUAGAAUCGACCUUCUCUACUGGUUCUCCGCCGAUCGGGCUUGCUUCGACGAGGGGGAAGAGGGACAACGCGCGGGAGGGAGGUCUGAGUGGAGGGAAAGAGCGUGGGAACGACGGAAUUGGGCGAGUUCUGUGAAAUUUGAGCCCUUUUAAAGUGGUAGGUAGCCACGCGCGACGACGGAUGGAGGGCUUAGGGGAUUUUGUUGAGCCCGGCCGGCUAUCCCCGGUCCGGUCGAACCGGCCUCUCAGAAGACGAUAAUCUUCGGGAGCACAAAACUGAGACACGGAGUGCUUUGAACUUCCACGAUCAAAGUCAAAAUUUUGACGUCAUUCAGUGAUAAUAUUAUUCAAUAAUUCGACGGACAAGACGUCAAGUUUAUCGGCGGCUAUCAUCGAGCCCCGGGAAAUGAGGGCAGUAAAUUUAUUUCCUAUAUUUAGCAUAUAUUUUUCCAAUCGUAAAAAGAUAUAUAUAUAUAUAUUUGACCAAUCGGGAUUUCGGUUGCGCUAGGUAUUUUUCACCGGCUACAGGCCCUUAUUCUUGGUACGCCACUAAUAUGCUAAAUUAUAAUAAUUAAUAAUUACUUAUUAUAAUUAUAUUUUCUCUCAAAUAAAUAAACAUUGAUAUAAUAAGUUGGUUAUCAGGCCUUGAGUUUAUUAGUUCAAAUAAAUAUCCCCAUUUACGGUGCGCGAAGAACUCGGAUCCUGGCUUGACCCUACAAGAUCUGGCGCCCAAGACCCAUCGGAUUGUGUGCAAUAUCAGGGUUCACCUGAGCCCACAGAAUGGACGGUCUGGGAUGAAUCUGAUAGGAGGCUCCUAGAAAAAAACAGUUAGGGAAGAAAAAUCUAAGAAGCUCGUUUCCGUCCCGAAGAAGGGACUGUGUCGCCCACCACCUUCGCCCCUCCUGCGGCAGCCAUCGGAUAAGGCGGCGAAGCGGGAGAGAAGAGGCGGCGUGAAAGCUGAAGAGCCGGUGUGGCCCUCGGAGGCCAGCGGGAGGGGAAGAGUGUAGUACUCUCUAUUUAGGGUGGAGCUAGAGGGCGAGGUAGCCAGUGAGAGAUGGCGAAUUCGCUGGCCACGAGCUGUGCGGCGUCGCCCGCCACAUCUCCGGCGACCAGAGGCUUCGCCUCCUCCCGGAGGACCCUGCCGAGUAGAAACUUUUUGAAUGUGCCGCUGCGUGAUUGGAUCUCUUCUUCCUCGUUCAGGUGUCCUUCUCGCUUUUUUUCCUGGUUCUUCUUGACGAAGCUUCGGUGUAUUUCAUAUUUUGAGAGGGCCGUCGCUGUGCUUCAGGAAGUGCUCGUCGAUUCGUCGCUGCUGGAGCGGCCCCAGGGCCGUGUACGCCGACGGGUACUGGGGACCUGAGCGGAGCUACCGCAAGGGAAUUUGGUCCAUCAGGCAUGCCUUCCUAUUCUUCUCCUUUUUAGGUUUUAGUUGUCUUUUGCCGGUGCUGGUGCUUCUCUUUCGCUGACUCUGCCUCUCCUUCGUGUUUGUCUGUUAGGGAGGAUUUGCAGAUGCCGUCCUCUCCUUACUUCCCAGUGGAGGCGCAGGCCGGCCAGGGGCCACCGCCUAUGGUGCAGGAGAGGUUCCAGAGCGUUAUCAGCCAGCUCUUCCAGCACGUAAGGACCUGGAAUCAACUUUAUAAGCGUUGUGUUCAUGUGUGCAAUUUUAGGGCAUUCGAUAUGGUUUUCGGUGGAUUAUGUAUGGUUAUCUGUUAGUGUGACAUUUUCUCUUGUAUCGAUUGGAUUACGAUGCCGUAGUAACAAUGGUUCCUUUUCCAGAGAAUAAUCCGCUGUGGUGGGGCGGUUGAUGAUGACAUGGCCAAUAUCAUUGUUGCGCAGCUGCUGUAUCUUGAUGCCAUUGAUCCUAAUAAGGUCCCUAUUUCUCAUUUAUUUUGAACUGAAAUAUCAUUGAAUUAAUGGUUAUGUCUCUUAUUGAUGGGCACCUUACGUGUUAACUUCUUGGAACUCUGGUGGUCUUUCUCUAAUUCCGCGUGAAUAUGCGACAGAGAGUGCUCCUCACUUUUUGUAAACCGGUAACUGCUGAAUACUAGGAUAUUUUCUUUUUUCAAAAAGAAAAAGGAAACUCAUUCAUAUGAUCAUUUCCUCUGAAACACAUGCGAUCUGAGGGGCAUCAAUUCAAGGAUGAUCUGAUACGCAUAAAAGUGUUUUUUUCCUCCUGUAGUUUGGUAGUGUCCCAAAAUUAGAUUGUGCCACUAGCAAUUGGAGAGCGAAGCAAAACACUUGUCAGAUAAACAUGAUUCUUGAGAUUAAAGAGUAAAAUGUUAGGACUAAUCAAUUUCCCACACUAUUUAUAAAGGUUUCCGAAUCUGUUCUCAAAUUGGGCGGUCGUUCAGAGUAGGAAAGACAGCUGUAAAAUACAUUUCUUGUUUACUUGGAAUACCUCCCUCAAAUUUGGAGAAUUUUUUCCCCGAUGUCAAUGGAACUCACACUUUGUUCAUGCAUUGAAAGCUCAUGUUGCAUGCAUCGAGGGCUUUCUGUGUUUGCACCCGAGUUUUCUUAAAGAGAAAACAAUAUAAUGUAGCUAUUUGCUUACAACGCGCAUGUUUUAUUAUGGGUAUCUUUUCGAAGUAUGUUUUUUAUUGGAUUUCAAAUCCACUUGUCUCUGGAAUGGGUGUUAUUCUAUCCUCAUUGCUGUGUAAUAGGUUGUUACUAAUAGCCCUAGAGGCACUUGCCUGGAAUGGGUGGAGGAUUUCGUGACUAUCAUCAGAUUUUUAGUAUCAAGGCCUCAUCAGAUUUUCUACAAACUCCUCUUUCGUGAUCAUGCUUGUUCAGUUGAAUUACGUUACAGAGAGGCUGAACUUGCUCGUAUACCUGGAAAUUCAUUUUUUUUGUGUCAAGCAGACGCCCUGAUUAUGUUCCUGAAAAAGCUAUACAUCUGUGUGGUAACAAGGGUGUGAGGUAUUUUAUUAUGGCCCAGAGCUAUUUUCAAAUAAUGGUUUUAAAAUCAUGCAUGUAAAUGAAGAGGAGGUUAUAGGUUGUAUUUUCAACAUGCGCAUGUCUUUUUGCAUUUUCUUGUAAAAUAAUAAAUUUAUGUUGGCAUGUAGUGAAAAAAAAUUAACGAUAUGGCCAUAGAUUCACUAUGCAGCCUCCAAUGUGACAGCCGUACGUACAAGGGUAUCACCUUCUUCACGUAAUUCAUACAAUAGAAUAAUGUUUCAUGCGAUUGCAAUUGAAAUAUAAUUGUAAAGAAAUUAUACUCUCAUCUGCUUCUCUGGGUGAAAUGACUAUUCUGAAUAGUCAUAAGAGUCUUACUGUAUUCACCUAGGCUUCUUUUGACCGCUCUCGUUAUGCAUCUUCCUCGUGUCUUUAAAUGUCGUAUCUCCACUUCUGAUGUUGAGAAAAAAAGGCAUUCGUGGGCAUGCAUAAUAAUUGCGAAAUGUAUUAAAUACACAAGUACACAUGGGAAAUAAUGGUGCUUGCCAGAUUUAAUUUCUCUUGAGGGAGGUAACGUUUUAGCAAAGAAUAUUUAAUGCAAUUGUAAUCCUGUUGUAUGUUUUCGUACCUUUGUAAUCCUGGGGUUUGGAACUGAACUGCCUUGAAAACAGUUUUUUAAAAUGGUAAUCCGGACUGUGUUGAUCUCAGAUUAUCAAUCUCCUAACACAUGUUCUGAGUUGGCCAAGCCUAGGAAUAUUUUGCUUCUGUUAGAACGUGUGUUGUUUCCAUGUGAUUGUGUCGUUUUUGGCUAAAUAUGCUGCCAACUUCGUUGGGAGAAUUCGCAAAGACAGAUAAACGUUUCGUGACUUGGAAUUAAAUUGCUGGGAGACGUCCUCUUUUGAUUGCUUCCAACUCUCGUCUGCUCUUGACUUCUUCCAUAAUGCACAAGGGGGUGGGUGCGUGGCUGUGGGAUUUCAGAGAGAAGCUUUCCUCAUCUCCCCUUAAACUUGGUGUUGAUCAUGUAGGACAUUGUCAUGUACGUGAACUCCCCAGGAGGAUCGGUGACAGCAGGUAAUAAUAAAUGCUUCUCUCAUGUUACUUUCUCAUUAUUUUUCUGCAUUUGAUUAGAACCCUAGGGUAUCUCGUUCACCAUUUAAUAUUGAAAUUCGACUGCACCAACCUUGUAGGCAUGGCAAUCUUUGAUACAAUGAGGCACAUAAGGCCUGAUGUCUCCACCGUCUGCGUGGGACUGGCGGCGAGGUAAGAGCCUUUACACUCGAUCUCUCCUGAUUGAAUCAUCUGGUAAAACGCAUGGCGCGUGAUUGUCUGAUGUUAUCAAUUUCCCGUUGGACGCCACUGGUUUCUCUGUCUACGCAGUAUGGGUGCCUUCCUCCUCAGCGCCGGAACAAAGGGUAAGUGAAGCAUCUGCUCACCCAGUGAUCUGCCUAGCCGGCAUGCCCUCAUGGCUAGAGUUCUGAUGCAGGGAAGAGGUACAGCCUGCCCAACUCCAGAAUUAUGAUCCACCAGCCUCUCGGCGGCGCCCAGGGUGGGCAGACUGACAUCGACAUUCAGGUGAGCGCCGCUGCUUCUCCUUGCCGCCAUGUCGUGUGACCGGCGGCUGAACUCGGGCUGCUCCCCGGCAGGCAAAUGAAAUGCUGCACCACAAGGCAAACCUGAACGGGUACCUGGCGUACCACACGGGGCAGAGCCUGGAGAGGAUCAACCAGGACACCGACCGGGACUUCUUCAUGAGCGCCAAGGAGGCGAAGGAGUACGGCCUCAUCGACGGCGUCAUCACCAACCCACUCAAGGCCCUCCAGCCCCUGCCCCCCACAGAGCAGUGAGAGAUCAUCGAAGAGACAAGGAAGGAGGAGGAGCCGUAAUGGGUCGCUUUAGGAGUCCUUUUCUUCCUCUGUUUACAUCAUUCUCUGGUGAUUUUGCAGCUGUUUAGGGAUUUUUAACCGAGUUGCCUUCACAGAAAAAAAAACCCGGAAAAUAUUCCUGCUGCCCUCAUUUUUAUUUUUUUUGUUGGUUUUAGCUCUACUAGGUUUCUGCAUGCGAGCUGGUUUGAAGGUAUUUUUUUUGAGGCGUCUAGGAGGGCUCUUUGUUCUUCAGGAAUUUUGGCGGCCACUCUUCCAUCCAAACACCUGCUCCACGAUUUCCUCAAAAACUCAAGUAGAAAAAAGAAUAUUCUUAGGGUCGUCCCUCGUCUAACAGAGAGAGAGAGAGAGACAGAGACAGAGAGAGGAGAAAAUAAAAGACCAGUUCUAGCGUCAUAGAGCGAGAGAGAGAGAGAGAGAGAGAGAGAGAGAGAGAGAGAGNNNNNNNNNNNNNNNNNNNNNNNNNNNNNNNNNNNNNNNNNNNNNNNNNNNNNNNNNNNNNNNNNNNNNNNNNNNNNNNNNNNNNNNNNNNNNNNNNNNNNNNNNNNNNNNNNNNNNNNNNNNNNNGAGAGAGAGAGGUGACAAAUAAAAACUAGUCUUUCGGUCAUUUAUAAGGGUUACGCGACGAAAUCGGCAUAGAUAGUUGGCCAGAAGACUAAAUCCUUUGGUUAAGUUUUCGGGGGUUAAAUACCGGCGAAAACAAGUAUCGGACUUAUAAAUAAUAAAUGUUAUGUUAUAGGACGAAAAGUAAGUUUUAUAUCCUUUGGGUAUAAUGAUAAUAUAUAAUAGUUUGAGGUUCAUUAGAAACCCACAUCUUCGAAAAACCCCUCUCUCUCUCGCUCUCUCUCUCUCCCCUCUCUGUGCUGCCCGUGUCGCUCGACAGGAUCGCCGGACCCUUGUUAUGUUAUAGGGCGUAGCCUUGCUCGUCCGCGGCUCCACAGCGGCUGUCUUGCCCGAAUCUCUGAGCAACCGCGGGUCAUCCACAAGUUGCCGGGUUCGCCACCGGAAGCCAUACUCCGUCGUGCAGAAGGUGCUUUUUAUAUUUGCAUGCGUUUAUAUUUUCUGCAGGAAGGUAUUUAUCCAGCCGGUAUCAUGCGCAAUCUUGUUUCCUAUGCCGGGGAAAAAGUGGAUGAGACUAGUUUUUGCUGAUUUUCCUCAAUUACUAGUAUUCCUGUUUUUCCGACCGAAUCCAUCCUGUCGGAAUUGCAAUCUUCUUCCCUGUGACCACGGAAAAGAGGACACUAGUAUUGUUAAUUUUCGUCAACUGAUGUAGUUCUCUCAGGGAACGAAAUAAAUUCCUACGCCUUUAAGUUUUGAUGUGUGGCCGAGAGCUGGUGGCAAGGUGGAUGCCUUUAGCGUUUGUGAUGUUUUGCUCGGUCUGUUGUUGGUUAUCUAGGUGGCUGACAUUUCAUAGGUGGCUUUGGGGGACGAUGCAGGGUGCUUCUGAAGUUCUUGCUCCCCGUCCGGAUUCCAUUUCAAUGUUUGUCUUCCUGGGGAAGAAUCAAGGGAUUUUUAGAAGCGCUCGAAGAAUCUUCUUCCCCAAAUGUUGCUCAGAACUUGGAGUACUUCCGUAUUACGAUUAUCUAUCUAUUUCUCAUCCUUCAGUGGAGGGAUUAGCUUCGGCAACCAGAUAUCAGGAUCGCCAUCUAUGUACCGAAGCAAGUAUACCUUCUUUUGGAUUAGAGGAGAAGGAGGCUGCCCGUCGAAUUCGUCAUGUCAUAUCUAGAAUGUGUAAUGGGACUGUUGAGGAUGUUGUCAAUCGGCUUCAACAUGAUCAGGAUUGUUCUGGGAUCCAGAUCUCAGUCUCCCUCGUGGAAAGUUUGUUGGGUGGGUUUGGAGAUGACUGGAAGUCUGCUAUGGGGUUUUUUAGGUGGGCUGCUUUGUGCUCCGGAUAUAAACAUACAUUGACAUCGUAUAAUAAAAUGGUAGACUUGUUGGGAAAGAUGAAGCAAUUCAAUAGAAUGGUAGAGUUGGUCAGUGAGAUGCGUGAAGAGGGUCUCAUUACAAUUGUGACACUUGCAAAGGUGAUGAGGCGAUUCACAGGUGCCGGGAAGUUUGAACAAGCCAUUGAGAUCUUUAAUAAUUUGGAUUCUUUUGGACUCACUAAGAACACAGAGGCAAUGAACAUCCUGCUUGACACCCUUUCCAAAGAGAAACAUGUUGAGACUGCGCGAGAGGUCUUUCUAGAACUCAAAUCCAAGAUUCCACCCGAUGCUUACACAUUCAACAUUUUUGUCCACGGGUGGUGCAAGGCUAAUCGUAUUGAUGAGGCUGAAUGGACGAUUCUAGAGAUGAAAGGCUAUGGUUUCCGCCCUUCGGUGAUCACAUACUCGACCAUCCUCGAAGCUCACUGCAGGAACUGCAGUGUUCAUAGGGUUUAUGAGCUUCUAGACAAGAUGCAUACCGAGGGAUGCAUUCCUAAUGUUGUCACAUACACUAUUGUCAUGCAUUCACUGGCUAAGUCCCAUGGGUAUGAAGCUGCAUUGCAAAUAGUCGACAGGAUGAAUGCUUCUGGAUGUAAACCUGAUACACUCUUCUACAAUUCCUUGAUCUAUGUGCUAGGGAGGGCUGGUCGGUUGUCUGAAGCCUCCCGUGUAUUUGAGAGGGAUAUGCAUCUGAAUGGGGUAAAAGCUGAUCUGUCAACUUACAACACCAUGAUCUCAGUCUUCUGUCACCACUCAUGCGAAAAAGAAGCGUUAAAAGUGUUGGAGAAGAUGGAAAAUGCUUCUUGUAUCCCUGACCUCCUGACAUACAGUCCACUACUUAAACUGUGUUUGAAGAAAGGGAAGACUGUUGAUCUACUCUCCUUUCUGAUGAACGACAUUGUCAACAAGUACCAAUUAAGUCUGGACUUAGCAACAUAUUCUCUCUUGAUCCAUGGGCUAUGUAGAGUUGGGAAAACUGAUUGGGCAUUCCUUCUCUUUGAGGAAAUGAUAAAUCAAGAAAUAGUCCCUAGGAAUCGGACAUGGAAAUUGCUCUUGAAGGAAGCUGAAGAAAGGAGUAUGCAUGGCACUGUAGAAAGGAUCAAAGACUUGAUGAAGCAAAGCAGACACUUUGGUUGUUCUGAAUAGAAGACUAGUUUUCUGACUUUGUUGACUUAUUUGUUGUAUAAAAUCGAUUUUAUAAGUUCAAACUCCUGAUUUAGCAAAACAGUGGUGCCAUUUUUGUGUUCGAUGCCUAACUCAUUACUCUGUCAGUUGUGGCUGAUCACAGAUAAUUUUGUACAUUCUCUUACUUAGAUAUACUUAAUUUGAACCUUUUGCACGUAAUUGAUUUUGAGAUGUACUGCUUUCAAAUUUUCAGAAGAGGUAGGACACAGUUGUUGGAUAUUUUGCCUCACGACGUAUGAUAACAUAUUAAUCAUGUUUACUUGAUACUAUUUUGUUAAGGCGAGUGUUUCUUAGAUAUCCAUAUGGAAGGUUUUCUGCUUAUUUCAUACCAUUUGUAGGGCCAAUAUUAAUAAUCUCAAUUAUGCUUCCAAGGAAGCAACCAAAUAUUCUGUGAAAAUAUUCAGAAAAAUGAAUUAUGUAGAUUUGCCUUUGAAAAUUGUUGAUGGCAACAGUUAUUCGUGGAGUUCCUCUCUGUGGCUUGGAAAUUAAGAAAUUCUAACUCUCUUUGUGUAGUAUCUUUUCCAAUGUGCUCUCAGACUUCCCUUGAAAAAUUCUUGAACUUGUGAAAAUAAAUACACGUCACCGGUAGUAUCAAAGACCAUGCUUGUCAUCAGCGUAAAUGACACGAAUUAGUCUCUGCCCAUUAUGGCUUAUUUCAUGAUGCCACAUUUUCAGAUAUUUAUUUUAUCUACCGAUUUUAGCCUUUCCUCCCUGGUAUGCACUGUUCACAAAGUAAUCCUUCUCAUCAGUUAGGAUCCUUUUCUAUUGCUUUUGCGUUGAUACUAUUAUUCUUUAACACUUUUUUUUGCCGGAAUUUUUCCAUAGCCUGUCAAUCGCCAUCAUCUUAAAUGAUAUGGCGUCAUUUGGGGAUGGGAAGAUCCACUGAAGUAUCUAGAGAUCUGUGGAGUUCUCUGAUGGUAUAUCUUGAUUGACAUAAGCGCGCUAUAAGAUGAUAUAAUGUACUUGGUCAAAAUCCCAAUAUGAUUCUGGACAUGAGAAGUCCUCUUGAAAGUGUUAGACGAGGUGGUGGUGGAUGGAAACUGUCAUCUUGGUCAUAGUUUAAGCUUAUAUAAACGUUAAAGUUAGAAAGAUUCUUCAGAAGAAUUAUGUAAACCUUGAUAAUAAUUUAGAUAAAGGGAAUUGUAACGAAUUUGGUGUUAGGACAUUAUCUUCUUUUUGGUGGCUGUAAUGAAAAUAAUGAAUGAUAAAACAAUUCUAUAAGAUUGGUAAUUGCUUUUGAAUCAAAUGGAGCUUUUGAAAUGCUAAUUCAAUAUUCCUCUUCUACUUAUCACAAUGUGUUUAAAGCCAUCUCAUCGUAGUUUGUGAAUGUCUCAUUUUAAGAAUUCUGAAUAAUGGUUUCUGAUGAGUUGCUUUUUUAAUGGUUUUUCGAGUACUUGGUUCAUUGGAUGGGAAGUACUACCUCCUAAUAGGUGCUAAGAGCAGUUUACUGGACGCCAGUCGGUUGGCAGUGAAUUUAUGUAGAUAUAGGUUUUCUGCAUUCAAUGCAAAAUUUGUUUUGAUGUAGGCCCAGUAGUCAAAUGAGUCAGUUUGAUACCAGCUUUUGCAGAAUCUGCGCAUUAUUCUAAAUUUUUUAAUGAAUGAUACAUUGUUAUUUUAUCAAGAUGUGAAGCUUUGUCCGAAUGUGACUGAUAAAAUGCUGCUGCAUAGUAUGAGAGAAGUGAAAAUAAGUUAUAUGAAAGAGCUACACCAUUCAUUCCCUCACAAAUUAGAGAAACCUAAUGAGGUAGGAUACUUCUAGACAGUCUUUCACUUCUGCCCUAAUUUUUUAUCAUCUACUUGAAAGAAUCUUUCUUCUCAGUAAUUCUAGCUCAGCAUAAUCCAUCUUUGUGGGAAGAUAUGUAUAUCUCUGUAGGCAUCUCAUCAUUUCUUAUGGUAGGAUGGUAGGUGUCCCCUUUUCAUUUGAUGGAUUAUUUAUGUUUCUACAGUUUUUAAAUAUGGGAUUGGACAAAUUUUGACCUAAUUCGCUAAGGAUAAAACGCUUCAUCAUACUGUAACUGAAGUAAAGUUUUGUGGCUUGAAUUCUUUUACAAAUGGUAAGGCCGUCUAUCUAAAUGUUCGUACAAGCUUGCUCUCAGGCUGAAAUCUAUUAUAUCAAGUCUAUUGGAGACCGUGUGCAAAUACAUUGCUUAUACUUAUCAAGUUCAUAAGAUUCUUUUAUGGAAGAAAUGGAAUGCCAUUAUAACAGCAGCUUACCUGGAAAUGUGAUUGAUCAGCUUACGGUUCACGAGACUUAGCUGAAAAAUUAAAUCUAUUUAUGGUUGGGCUAUUAGGAUUGGAUUUACCGUGCUGGCUCUCUGGCAUUAGCCACAGGGAAGAGUAACUCUUGAUGUGUGGUCACUUGGCUUCGGCUAGUUGAUGAGUGUCAGUAUCCAGUGAGAAAUAAUGAAAAGUAAUCUCCAUCAUCUCGUUAUUCACGUUCAGGCAUCACUGGACCAUUAUGCACAUUUGUAAUACAGAAUGAAAUGAACUGUGCCCAAAUGGACCAGUGAAAAGCAGAGAAACACAAAUUCCGAUCUGUCAGAGUGAGAAGCAUAAUUUUACUCAUCGUUCCCAUCAAGAUAUCAAUGUUCUAGGACUGAGAGCUCCUUCAAGAUUCGUUCUCACCCUUCCAUGGAACUUUCCCUUACGCCUAUUUGUGCCUAGCCAUUCUUCAAUUGUUUUUUCUCGAGUUUUGGUUUUCGGCGCAACAUCUUGGUUUCUUUUAUUUGAGCACGCCUGUUUUUAUUCUGUGCCUUUGAGUUUCAUCAUAUAAUGCAGUCCGAUUACCCCAUCCAUCUCCCCCAUCUAGCAUACCUAUCAUUAAGGCAACGCUGUUGCGGUUUCUAGCAAAGCCUUGCGGCCACUUAGCCAUCAGGCAUAUCGGUUCCAUUAAUUUAUGAGAUAUGAAAACCCAAAUGAGCCCUUGUUUGUUUGGAUCUCUUCCAUAAAUGCUGAUGCUAUCUAGUUUGACUGUAAUCAGCUGGCCCCUACAUAGGUUUUGAUAGACUGGAAUCCCAAGGAAUGAGCUGGAAGUCAACCAAGACUAUCUUUUUUUACUUCAUUGGCGAAUCCCGAGGCCAUCUCUACUACUAUCCACUUCUUCUUGCAUGCCUUAUUUACUGCCCAGCCGUCUGCCCCAUGUAAAAUAGUUGACAUUAUGGUCAUGUUCUCGUACACUCUUUUAAAGCCUCAUAGACGAUCACCCGGCAUAUACUGCAUGUUGAUUGCAGUUCCUCCUUUUCAAUCGUAUCGACAGUAUGGGCUUCAAUUCUCUUUGUUUUUAUGCUUGAAACAGAUCUAGAUGCCAAAAAUUUUACUUGUAGAUGUUUCCCGUCCUUAAAUGGUGCAUCCGUAGCCAUUAUCCUUCGUGAUCCACCGCCAGAUAUUUUUAGUUCGGUUAUGGCCCAUUGUCCAUCUCAUCUCUCAGAGAUUGUAUGCACAAUCAAUCUACCAUACCCGCGUGUUCUUCUGUCUCCGUAUACUUCUUGUAUACAUGCCGGUGGACAAUAUGGGCCUGGUGCACAAGUUUACGUAGAUGAGUUCCUAUCCGAUGUCUUAAUUGAACUUUUCCCCUGAUGCCAAGCUCCCUUGGCUACUGUUCCUGAGGUUAUGUAGAGUGCUUCGGAAAAUGAGGUCAUUUUAAAAAAAAAUUACUGGUAAAACUGCCGAGGGACUAAAGGAAAGCUUUUUGUAGACUAGUGCUCAUGUAAUUUUGAUAAAUUUAGUACUGGAAUCUCUUCAAAUUCUCUUCCGUUCGCUGUAAUGUGUUUCGACAAAACGCAGAGUGGCUGGAUCGUGAAGAAGAAGGCAAGCGAGGAUGGCGACGAGCUGCGCGAAACUCUCGAGGCGCAUCUCCCUGAUGGGGGUGCCGGCGGGCAGUAGAGGGUUUGCGGCGGGCGGCGCCAAAGCGAAGAAGGGCUCCAAGGGAGGGGGUGACGCGCCGAAGGCCUCCACCAUCUCCAACGAGGUGAAGGCCUCCACGGUGGUCGGGGCCAACAUUCUCAAAGACGGGGUCGACCCCAAGGUCAUGCCGGACGCGGACUACCCCGACUGGCUGUGGCGCCUGCUCGACAAGCGCCCCCCCCUGAGCGAGCUCCAGCGGAGGAAGCCUGAAACCCUCUCCUACGACGAGCUCCAGCGCCUCACCAAGCUCGACAACCGCGCCAGAAUCAAGGAGAACAACGCCGUCAGGGCCAAGAACUGAUCGAUCGAACGAUCCUCCCCCUCCCCUGCGUUUUUAGGUUCGUUUCCCUGUCAGAGAUCGAUGCUUCAGGAGACGGAAAAGAUUUUCCCUAUUUUACAUGAUAUGCGCAAAAGCUUCAUCCCGCUCCGGCGACUGGGCAUCGAUAUUUACAGAGGAGAGAAGGGAAGAAGGCCGAGACGACGGCGGCGCCGGGGGAUGCCCGCCGGUCAGGAGAUUUCGACGGGGCGGACUGUGGGCUCGCCGGCGGCGGCCGUCUCCUUCUUGGGCACCUUCAGGGUGAGCACGCCGCUGUCCAGCGAGCAUUGAAGGGCGUCCAUGUCGGCGUUCUCCGGCAGGCGGAAGCGCCGGUGGAAGCUCCCCGCGCCACGCCGCUCCCGCCGGUGCCAUGUUCCCCCCGCGGGGGACUCUUCUUCCUCCUUGCCGGCACGCUCCCCGCGGAGGUCGAGGACCUUCCCGUCCUCCACUUGAACCUUCAGCUCCUCCCUCUUCAGCCCUGCCGUCGCAGAGAGAUCAGAAAACAGGCUAACACCGCCGCAACGUUAACAGGAGUCGCCACUUACCCGGGACGUCGACGCGGAACAUGUGGGUAUCAGGUGUCUCUCGCCAGUCGACGGCGACGGCGCCCUCUCCCCGGCGCCGCCCGCGGCGGCCAGCGUUGGGCUCCCACCCGAAGCCUAUGUCGAAGGGGUCCCAGACGUCCCAAGAGAAAGGAUCGUAGUAGUCACCUCCCCAAGGCAUCAACGACGCCAUGCGCCCCCUCCCCCCCUGCUUCUUCUUCUUCUUCUGCGAAGAGAGACGAUAAGCUUAAAGGAGCUGGACGCUCUUUUAUGGCGAGAAGCGGCGGACAUGCAACCUGCCGCGUCCGCCAGAGGCGUGUCGGGGCAGGGGCAGCCCUCGAGGUCCCACCUGGCUCUACGCGUCGCCGCUAAGAGGCCGGCUGAGCUGCCCGACGGAGAACUCUCCUCCCCUGGACACGAACGGCUGGGCGCCGCCACAUCACACAGCUCGCUGCCUUCUUUCUCGGUGAUCCAUGGUCAACCAUAUGGAUCAAAGCGACCUUUUUGGGUAAUGUCAACGUCUGGUUUUAGAGCGAGGAAGGAGGCUGUCAUGAGAAUGCCCGGUUUUUUUCCGCCCACGAGCGCUGUACAUGGCACGGUGUCCCGACGAACGGAGGAGCCUAAUCCUCGAACAUCCCCUCGUCCGACACGCCGGGCGACUCCGUGCCGUUGACAAAGGGCUUGCCCGCGGAGACCGAGCUGGAGUCGCCGAGAAUCUCGUAGUCAAAAUCCAAGCCAUCGUCAUCGUCUUCUUCCUCCUCUUCUGUGUCCUGCUCGGCGUUCUCCCUGUGGGCGUCCCUCCGGCUGCUGCCUUCCCCGCGGGUCUGCUGCUUGAUCGCCUCCUCGUAGGGCAUAUCGUACCAGACCUUGCCUUUGCCGACGAUGGACCGGUUGUGGUCCUCGGUCAUCCUCUCCUGCUUGCUCUUCUCCGAGUUCUUGGGCUCCCCCCAGUAGUCGUACCGGUACAGAGGGCUCGUUGGGUCGUACCGGUCCUUCCCCAGCACGCUGUCAUCCAGAUAUCUCCCCGGCUCUUCCACCGGAAGGUCGAGGGCUCUGCGGCUGCCAUGGCGGAACCAAGAGCAACCCACAAGGAGAAGGAAAGAUCAGGAGACGCGGCCAGCACCAACAGUAAGAAGGAUGAUAAUAAAAACAGUAAUGAGCAACAAAGGACGAGAGAAGCUCGUUCAAUCCUUGCUAAAACAGGCACACAAGAACAGCUCUCCGAUGAACUGCAUCGAGGAUGAUUGAUGAUUUUAUUCUUUUCUGGGCUGAUGCAGCCAGGUUCUCGAUGGUGUUUAAAGGGAUGGAAAGUGUGACUCGAUCCGAUUCAGGAACCAGAGACUAUGAGCUACAUCAAUCCAGGAAAUGCCGAGGAUCAGGUAAAAGAUGGGGGUUCGUGUUGGCAGCAAACCUGAGGUCAACGGCCAGCAGCCUACUAUUUUCAUCCAUCGAUUUUACGGCAUGAAUCAAUAAUCUCAAGAACAGAUCGAUAUAAUAAACAUCAAAAAACCAGUCGUGAGGUGGAUUCGUUAGCUUUUUAAAUGAAGGUCCGACUCAUUCCAUGAAUAAAUUUAUUGAUAAUCUGCUAAGAAAACUAAUUUAACUUCUAUUGUUCCCGUCUCAUUAUACCUUAUAUUCUAGCAACUAAAAUUCCUUGUCUAACAUAAUAUCGUAAAAAUUGCUACAGAUGAACAUCAUAUGACAGCGCGAAUCAGUGGCAUGGACAAUGAAACAUUAGAUUAUGAUACAGUAAAACAUGAAAAAAUCGUCUCAAAACCCAGAUAUAAUGUAGAGAAUUGACCACGAAACAUGCAUCAGGUACAUUUAUGCAGCAUGCUAUAUAACUAAGCAUAUUCACCCGAAAAAUUAUAGGUGGAUCACGAUUCUUAAUUUGAACUGUGCAAGUCAAAAGAGGAAUUUUCAUCAUCGGCAUAUUGGGUAUCGCAGUUUAUCUAAUCUUUAUAUUGAAGGCAUUGAAUGAGAGAACAUACACACUAAUAUCUCUGAUCAAAGCCUCUCUUUCUUCCAAUGACCGCCGCCAAUGCAGAAAAUCGUACUCGUCCAUUUCAAUCAUCCGCUUCAUCUUUGGCAAUUUGAAUUCUUCUCCUCUCUCUCUGGCUUCGUUCUUGAGUCUAUUGUUGAGCUAGAUCAGGGCAACAGAACCAUUGGGCAACAUCCGAAUCGUCAGAUCUUUUAGAGAGACAAUAUCAAGUAGAAAAUACAGAAUUUCUGGUAAAAAACCACUAUUGCGAAGAUUAAGCAUACCAAAGCCUGUGAUGAGGGCAACAAACAUGUCAAAUUUCCACAAAAUCGUGUUUAACACGUAAAAAUGAAUAUUAAAGAUUGUAGGCAAUCAGGUGGAUUUAUUUCUGCUCGUCAUCGAUACAUCAGAGAAUGGAAAAGCAUAAAAUAGGAUUGGCAUUUGAAGCAGAUGACCCCAGCCUUCGGAACACCAACUAUUAGACACGCGAAACAUUCCCCUAGAACCUUGUCUAGCAUAAAAAGUAGAAGCUCAAAAAAGAAUAGGUAAUUUAUCCCACUGAUGGAGAUCUGCGCCAUCAUUCUCUGACCUCAGGAUAUAUUUUGCAAAUCUUUCAAACACAGGAAAAUAAUCUCUCUCACCCAAGCAUGAAAAUGAGUAAAACUUCAGAGCACCUCAUUCAAUUGGUCUGACCAAGAAAAUAAAUUUUAAAUAUUUAUCUUCCAUCCUCGCCUAUAUCCAUGGACAAGAAAGGUUAUUAUUAUUUCCUCUACCCCGUAAUAGGAUAUGAAAUACUGAACUCAACAGUAGAUAAUGGCACGCCAGAAAUGAAAGCCACUUGUCACAGGCCCGCAAUUCAACCCAAGGAUCACCAACUCUCAGUUUAGGCUUCUAAAUCCAUGGUCUCACAAGGCAAACACUAUUGAUCAUCUGUCAUCACUCGAAUCGAAGAUCAACAUCCCUCUACCAUCCAUUUUUGUUUAAUGAGCAUCAGCCCACAAGAUUCUGAGAGCUUUCAUGUUAAAAUUGGUUCCAAGAAAUAGUUUCGCACUUGGGGAAUCAGCUAUUUGUCAGUUAGAGACGUCGAAAUGUUGGCCUCAAAGAUUGUAAAAAUCCUGCUCGUCUAGAAACAGGAAAGAUUUAUAUAUUUAAUAAGGAAAGAGUAUAAAGUUACCAAAAAAAACAAUAGAUACCAUCAAACCAUUUGCGUUUCACGAAAGGAAAACCUUUUUUCCGUCUGAAACACCAGAAAUCAUGUAUGCGAAUACUUCCUAUAAUCAGGUUGACAUAAUGAACAAGACUAACCUGUCUUUCAGCUCGAGCAGCAUCUAGAUCAAGUUCCCUUACAUUAGUUUUCUGUCAAAUCACAAAAAAAAAUAAUAGUUAUACAGGGGGACAAUGAUCCUCAACACUUCAUAAUGCAAGGACCCAGUAGCUGUAAUUUCACCAUAAUCGUCUUUGGGAGCCACGAUUUUUUGUAGUAGACUUCGGUGUGUUCCAUACUAUGCUCUUCAUCAUAAGGAGCAUUGAAAAAUGAUUCGAGGAAUUCUUUGUCCUUGUAUUUCUCCGGAUUUUUCUCCUCAUCAUCCAGAAUCAUUUGUUCUGAUACAUGAAGUUGCCAUAACUGCACACAAUAAUUUCAAAUGCAUACCACACUCUUCAGUUUAUCACACUUAAUUAAAUAUCUAAUCAUAAUAACAGGAAAAACACAAACUUAAAGAAAAAAAAGUACACGAAGUUCAUUCGCCAAAUGAGAUAAAACAUUAGCAACCUUACACCCAACAAAAACUCGAUAAAGCAGAAGGAAAUCAGCAAAGCAGGCUCAAAUUAGACCAUGUAGCUACCUAUAAGCUAGAUGAUUAAAAAUUGUUCAAAUUUUGAUUUAUGAGGAACAAACUUUUUAUUAAAUUCCAAAGAUGAAUUCCAUCAUAUCAUAAACUUGUAAUAUAUUCCCUUUUAUAGAAAAGAGGAGAAGAAUAUGAGAGUUGUCUCGAAAGCCUAUGAAAGCUUGAGUACACUACCCCAAACAAAGCAAAAUUAUGGUAAAAGUAUCUGCAUACAUUACUAGAUAAGAACUUGCACAAGAGAAAUAGCAGAUAGAACCCUAAGGACAAUGACAGAGGGAUAUCCACAUUAAGGAUUACGAGCGUAGACAAUAUUAUCCGAGUUUGAGAAAGGUAGACAAUAUUAUCUUCCAGCAUAACCAUGAAAGAAAAUAUCCCAUUGGAGCAUAAAUUACGGCAAUUCAUCCCUGCCUCAUACCUCAGAAGAUAGUUUACACAUAAAAUCAUGUAGAAAGAGUAGAUAAAUACCUUGUCAACAUACGGAUGAUUUGACAGCAAGGGCUGAUCUUCAAUUUUGUAUCCCGGAUUUUUCCUAGGAAUAGGUGGUCUUCCAGCGUCCCUCUAUGAAUGGAGACAUGAAAAAAGAAACCACAGAAAACAAUGAACAACAAACAACCGUCAAAAUAUUGAGGCAUUCUUUCUGACCUCAUGUGGGAAAAAUAGUGUAUUAUCCCUAACACGAUCCUAGUCAAUAUAAACCCGCGCUGCAAAAUUCAGGAAAGAAAAAUAAGUAAAAUUUAUUUGGGGGCGCUGCCUUUUCCAGAGAGAUUGGGUUUAUUCUCAGCUCGACCAGAUUUGUGAACCGGUCCAGCUCUUGCAACUCAUACUAGAGAGGUGCUUAAAUCCACAUAUUUAUUGAGAGAUGGAAUGUUCUUACAAUCCAUAUUUGACAGAUAGUCAUUAAUAUCAAAAGAUUUUUUGAGAGAUACAAUGGUGAAUCAAUGUCUGGUGGAAUUUGGGAAGGCAUGGACAAUAGACAUGUGAGAUUAGAGAUUCCACAUAUAACAGCAGCCUUUCUGCAACAUGGAGGGUCAACAUGAGUCAGUCAGUGCGUGAGGAUGCAUGUGAAUGCAUUGGGAGAGGGGAGAGAGAAAGAGAGAGAUCUUGCAAUGGACUGCCAGAGCUAUCGCCUACCCUUUUUCCAUCUCUCCCUCCAAUGGCCUGUAUGCCUGGUGCCAGUUCAUAACCACCCCCUACCCCGCCCAAAAAAGUUCCCCACUACCCCGACUUGAGCAAAAUUUUACAAGGAUGAGAAAAAAGAAAGGAAAAAGAAAUGAUCUAUAGUUGUUUCCAAUAGAUCGCCAUCAUCAGCAUCACCAAAGGUCAACUAUUCCUAAUCACAACUAUUGGCCCCACCAUAUUACCUUCAUCAUUAUCUUAUCCCACUUUAUUGUCACUGCCACAUGACAAGGAUGGAGAUUCCAUCCUAAACACGAACUUAAGUCCUUUGUUAUCACACUCUGCAACACAUUAUCUUCCAGUUUAGUUCACAAGCUGAGACACUGGGAGCAUACUUUAUACUGCGUGGAGUUUUUUCUUUUGCAGUCUAAUUAAAACCUAACUGCUGAUGAUCUUUAUCACAAUAAGAUCAGAUCUCCCAGCCCGUCAUGGACUUUCUUUCUUAGAUCAGUAGAACGCCAUGGAAGGGAAAAAUUAACUUUCUUUCCCACUUUACACUCUCAUUGCAUUGUCCUUUCCUCCCCAACGAGCCCUGCUGGCCCCUUUGUUCACGUGUUCUCCGGUUUUAUAUAUUUCUAUCUUUUGCCCUAGCUGCUGUCCGCGUCCAUUUAUACAUGACAACAAUUGGGAUGGAAAAUGCAAAUCAACAUGCCUUUAGACUACUUAAUGCAUAAUUUUUUCAGCCAAGAAGCAGCAGAUUCAAGAGUGCAGUUAACGUUACACACAACGGAACUGUGCCGAAGCCACAAAGGAGAAGGAUUUUUCAAGAUAAAAACUGGAUCAAUGAGAUUAAUCUUUUAUUUCAUAUUAUGCAUGAUGAUUAAGAUAUGAUUUGUAACGCAAGAGAGAAAAAUCUACCCAAGAGCUCUGCAAAUCAAAAACUGAGUAAAUCACAUUACCCAGAGUUCUUCUGGAUUUUUGUCUUCUUCUCGAUGAAAGAUUGGUGGAAACUCAAACCUAUUGAAUCUGCAUACCAAAAAGAGUGCAAGCAGAAAAUAAAUGACAUAUGUAAUAAUCAAUGAAUUAAAAAAGAUAACGCCUAAAAAAUUAAUAAAAAACGAAUCAAGUAUUUUUUUUCCAGAAAACUAAACAUGGAGCAAAUUCCAAGGUAUGUUAUAAUGUGAGAUAUGAAUAAAAUAGAUGGAUUAAAAUGAUUGAAUGCAAAUAAUGAUGCACGUUAUCACAUACAGCACAUUUUUUAAAAGGAAUUAUAAAAAUGAAUAAAAUGGUAGACAACUUUGCAAAAGAAUUCCAUACAUAUUUCAUGUAAUAAUGGCAAGAGACAAAUAGUUGGUAGCUUGAUAAAUUAAAUGUAGAGGAUGGCAAAUUCUUUGACUAGGAACAAAUUCUUUGACAAGAGACGCCAUUCCUUGCAUGAUGUUGAAUUCCCGACUUUAAUAAGUAGAGUGACAAAAGUAUUUAGAAGAGAUGGAUCACAAACAAGCCACGUACAUUAGGUGAUCUAUGUUAGGAUCAACAAAGCGCAUUUCAAGCGGAAAUCGAAACCGAUAAGGAUCUCGUUUAGCCUGCAAAGAACAAAGAGGAAGAUAAGAGUGACUUUCUGCUGGAAUUAUUACAGAUACCAUGAAAGAGUUUUCGGAUGUACACAGAUAAAUAUGCAAAGAGAAGAAAAUUCUGACAGGAUCUCUAUAAUAAAAAGAUGACAAAGUAUAACUUACCAGAAUUUCAACAAUUACUUGCAUACCAACUUUUAUGUGACGACGAAUCCAGUACCAAUCAUUACCCUUUAUUGGGACCCACCUAAAAGAUGGUAAGAGAUGCAUUAUAACCAGAAACCUACAACCAUAACUAGCAGAAAAAUAAGCAGCCUUGAGAACCAAAAUCCUUGAAACUGGACAAAAUUUCUGACUUCAAUUUCAUGUUUGGAUUAUAGACCAAGUAAAUGAACUUGAUUGAUGGGACAGAUGAAUUCAGAAACCAGAAAAGGAUCCUGAAACCAGAAAAACUGAUCAAUUAAGUGUAUGCUUUUAGAAGGCUACACUCCAUGAAGUCCUAAUGGCCAAAGUCAGUAAGACUCCUCACCUAUGGUAAGAAAAUUAUGUUGGUGUUUGUUUUCAAAAAACAAACUUCUGAAAUAACAGAUUGAAGAGUCUACAAGAAAGGAAUGACUCCAAUUGAAUCAUUAUUCUCUGACAGCCAUGUUCUGAACGUGGCACAUCAAAUAAAAGUAUGUACAGUUAUUGACUAUGUUCACACCUUUAUGGAAAAAAAUUCAACGGUUGGUUUUCUAAAUUCUUGGUACAACUCUGAAGAAAACAGGCAGUACAAAACUCACGGGGCAAGACAUCAUUCCAUUAAGGAAAAUCGUUUCUCACUAGAUGAGCAAACCCUCUGGUCAAGAACAACGUAUUACCCCUCAUAAACACAUCCAACGUCAACAAAUGCUCCUUGUUGAAGGUGGAGAGUGGUCACUUUUCCGACACAAAUCUGUAUUCAUGAAGCCAUUUUAUCAUAUGCUCAGAUAUAAAUGACUUCCAAGGAGCAAAAUCAAUAAAAUAAUAAAUGAAAUAAUAGAUGAAACCAACACUUGAUGGUAAUUUGGAAAGACAGGUUCUUCGUGCCUAAUCAUAGCAUCUUUUUCAGAACUAUUCAGGUAGUAUUCUUGGAAAAUAAAACAAAUAAUUUCAAAAAACAAAGAAUAGCUAGGGGGAUUUUUUUGCAAAAGAAAAAUGACAAGAAAACAUUCUACCAUACAAAUUUGAAAAUUACCAAAUAACAUCCCAGGGAAAUGAGAACAUCCCUGAUGAGUAGUUUAGUUAUGAAAAUUUGGAAGAUCCCACAUCAAGCCUCAAUGAAAUAAAAUGAUUGAAACUCAUUGACAAGAACCAUCACCAUGGGAAUAAGUAUGAUCAGUAGAAAUAACUACUCUGAAUUUUUUUAUAACAAUACAUGGUCCAUGUGAUGGCUGCGCAUUCAACUUUCCAAAAAAAUAUGCACGCAUCAUACACAUGUACCGAAGAGAAGUCUCCGGCAACUCAGACAAAGAAGCUCAAGCUUCCAGCAAACUGAUAAAUUUGAAUAAUUUCGGGGAAAACGCAAUAGCUUACCUGUCCAGGAUAAAAAAAUGGAAGCUCAAGCUGCAAUAGAAGUUAAAAGUGAUCAGUAAUGGAAAUCUGAUCACUGACGAUGAAUGUGCAGAAUAAUCAAGUAAACAAAAAUAUUUUUCACCAUGUCAUCUUUGUAGUCCUUGCCUCUUUUUCUCCUACCAGGAAAAUAAUCUUGGUCCAACUGCAUGAACAUUAAUAAGAUUGAAAUGGAUGGUUAAGUAACAAGUGGCACGAUUACCUGCCAUUUGAAAUUACUCAGAUAUUACAACAAAGACGCCAAACUCAGUAAUCAUAGGUUUCACAUCCCCCCCAAGUUACAAAACUUUGCCACAUGGGAAUAUAAAAAAGAAAAGAAAAACUUUGGGCUUAAUAAGUCAUAAAAAAAUUGGCACUGAUAGAAGCAAGUAGAGUUUAUUGAUCCUUAUAUCUAUAUCCAUUCGUAGCAUUACUUUUCUUCUUCUACUGGAAUCUGUCCUACAUACUGGAAUUUUUUUAAAAUUCAAACAACAAUGGUGAUGUAAAUGGAGCGUGGCAUCCAAACACAACACUAUAACGCAAACAAUUCUCAAAACUCUCCACUCACUUCAAAUUAAGUAAUUGACUAAUCCAUAUAGGUGUACACGGAAACAUACUUGACCAAUGUUCAGAAGUAAAACGGAUUUCAGGUCAAAUCAAACCCACAGUUGAAUUUCAAUUAAAAUUAUUUUUUUUGGAAAAAAACUGAGUAGAUCAAUAUUAUUUCCUUUAUUUUUAUGGUACUCAAGAUAAAAAAUGAUCUGAAAUGAUUUCCAAGCAUUUGGAAACAUGAACCAAAUAUUUAAUCAAAAUGAAUGGAUCUCAAAGUUUCCCAAAAAAUAGAUUAGGAAUAUUAGCGAAAAAAUCAACUACAACAAUAUUUAAUCUUUAAAUGAAUACGAUCAAUGAAAUUUCAGGAACUAAAACUGUUCUUUACCAAAAUUAGACGUGAUAUUUAAAAUUAUAAUAACAAGGGCUUGUCCAUGACAGUUGAUUAGAUUUGUCUCUUUAUAUCAAAUAAUGUUUUAAUUAACAAGUAAUUGAACUUGUUCAAGAAACAAAUAUCAUACCGCAUUUCUCAUCAGUUAUGGAAACAGUGAGAGAGUAAAUGGAGAUCAAUGGAUUCAAUACAUAUGUAGUGCCCAAAUGGUUAAUGAUGCGACCUAUUAUUCCAAGCUUUUAGCAAAACUCAGGCGCAAUGGUUCUUCUCUUGGGAUGUUGGCAAUACAUAUCCAUUCUCGAUUUCUGAUGAAUUUAGGUCAAUGAAAUAUGUCACAUAUUCGCAACAAAUAUAGGAAAUCGUCUUAUAUGUUCCUGCUUUUAGUUUCUUCCUUAAUAAAUGCUUUAAAUACUCAUUACAUUCCCCUUUCCCAGACCACCUCAAAUGUCUUUCAACAUGUAAACACAAAGAUAGCUCAAACUAUUGAAAAUACUGACAGCUUUGUCUCUGACGAGCACGAAUAAUGAUUUAAGUUCAUCAAACUCGAGAACGUUUUGUGCAUCAAAAGAUAAUUAAAAUCAUGAUAUGAGAGGAGAAAGGGAUAAUGGAACUCGCAUCUCAAGAACAACGAGAAUUAUGCACUUCAUUGUCAGAUAAAACCAACCUUAAGCUCGGUCUGUUUCAGGACUUUAUAACUUGAAGCAUGUAAAGAAAUACCUCAUUAUCGAAUGUAAGUCAGUCGACCUUCAUGAUGCAUAACACGUGACCCAUGUAAUUGAUUAUGGAAAAAAUACAAACAAGCACCUAACUCUAACAAUGGCCAGCAGAUAAUCAUGGUUUUCAUUAGGAAAUUCAUCUUCUAAACACCGAAAUCAAACUUCACAACAAGGCUUUUGAUAAUGAAAUACAUUUUUCUUUCACCAGAAUCUUAAGCAGAAAAUUAAUGGUGGUCAUAAAAAAUGCUCCUUUUGGAACCUUUCAUCACCAGGAGAUUCAUGCUAUUUCUCCAUUUUUCAACGGUCUAACCCCAAGGAAUCCAGCAGCUAAUAAUCUUUAAUUACCAAGGACCACCUCCCCAGCAUUUUCAUUUCUGUUAUCUCCUCAUUUUUCACCGCCAAAUAUCAGCACAACUGUGAUUAUCCAUACAAUCUGCACUAAUUGGCAUCGAGGAUGUAGGAUUCCUCCCACCGUCCUACUCAAUCACAUUUGAUAUUGCAUUCGCAAUUUAGUCCAUUCCCUCAUUCAGCAUGUUUUCAGGUUGUCUACUCCCCUCAAAUAAGAAAUGAAAAUGGUGCACUCAGCUGAUAUAUUGAAAAGAAAUGAAAGGAAAAAAAACAAGGUGCUUUUUUUUCAUAGCCCACCCAAGGGUUAUGAAGGUUAGUCUCUUUUACGUUGGCAUCAUCGUAGAAGAAUAUAGGAAGAGUGAAACUUCCAAAAGCCACACCUUGAAUAAUUGCUAUUAAAGGGAUGGACGAGAUCAGACCUCGUAUGCCUCGUCUUCUAGCCUGUCACGGUUGGCAGCCGCCCACUCCUUGUACUGCGUCAGGAACACUUUGUACCUCUCGAGGGAGGCUGAAUCAACAUCGGUCCUCCUUUCACUCUCCAAAUCCACCCUGUCCCACUCAAGCUUGUGUGCCUCUCGAAUGAAAGCCAGCUCGUCUUUAUCCACCGUCCACCCUCUUGGAGGCCAAUCCCUUGGUGGCACCAUCCUCAACGCGAGCGGCCCGUCCCACAACGUUGGUUCCAGUGGGUCGGGGGGAUUCUUCGCCAUCUGGCUCUCUAUUUGCCACUGAGUGUAAGCUUCGCCGUCGAGGCCCUUGCUCCGGCGGUACGCGGGGCUGAGCAUUUUGAAGGCCUCAAUGGCCUCGGGAGACUGGAGGGGCACCUCCUCCCCUUCGUUAAGACUCUUCCUGGCGAAGUCGCCCUCGGGGGUGAGGAUCUCCUCCCAGGGGGCCCACCCUCUCUCGACCCAGUUCCGGCGCCGGGCCUCCUCUUCCGACUCAUUCUCCUUCGGAGCAAACUUGGCCAGGAACUCCUCAUCCACGGGCAGCUCGUCCGGAGCGUACGUGGCCCUAGGUGGCGGCAAUGGCAGGGGCACCUGGAAAAGAUGCUGCUGCUGCUGCCGCCGCCGAACACGACCCUGCUGCCACCGUGGGCGCUGCGACGAGAGGAGAGGACAGCGGACACUGUUGAGGAAAAACGGCGCGGAGGGGACGACCGCCCGGGGAAUUGCGGGGACGGAGGAGGAAGCAACGGGGAAGAAGUCGAGGGCCUGAGGAGCUUUCCAGCUACCCAUCGGGAGGUGUCUGGAGAACACCGUCAGGUAGAUGAGGCAGUGCCGGGGUUUUGGAUGGGUUUCUAACGAGAAUGAAGGCCUGCAUAGAGAUAGUCGGAUAGAGAGAGAGAGAGAGAGAGAGACGCUUACUAAUAUCUUUUAUUACUUAAAGACCGAGUUAUAUUUAAUAUUUUAUACACCACAAGAUAGACGCAUUAUUAUAAUUAUGACCUACUCUUUUCCAUCGGUGGUGUCCUAAUAAGCAGGCAUUUACCCUUUUCCCCCACGAAGGCACUUCUACUCGACUAGCCCAUAGUGACCAAUCUACCCCAAUCCAGUCCCUGUCCCUCGUCAGAUAUAGAAUGGAAUUGGUGAGAACCAAGUCCCAAGGCUUUUUAUCACCAACUAAUAUACAUUGAUUUUAUAACUAAUUAUAGUUUUAGAUUACUCAAAGCUUGCCCAUAAAGAAUAAUGGGUAAUUUUAUCUCUUAGCAAAAGGGUAUUUAUCAUCUACUAGGAUUUCCUUCAUUGUUACCACAUGCCCCUUGCAAUGAGGAGCAAAAUAUCAGUCAAGUAAAACCCUGAUUUCCCCCCUAAAAUCUCUCUUUUACGAUCAUCCUCAUAGAUGAGUGCAACAAGCAAGAGAUGAGGUAGUAAAGGGCUAAUAGUAGCCUCCUCUACAUAUGAUAUGAAGUUGGAGGGACGUGCUUGAUACUAAACUAAAGAUCUUUGUUGUUAGUCAAUGGCCAACCUUACCCAUGUUAUCUAUUUGAGGUAGAUUUUUUUUUAGGCUAAGUGAAGUAGGCUUGACUAUGAAACUAAUAGAUAUAAAGAAAUGAAUAAUUAUAAUUUAGAUGUAGAAUUUUUCAUUAAUUAUCAAUAAAAAUGCAUAUUAACCAGUACAGAUUGUAUAUCUUACAACCCUUGAAAUAAAAUUAAAAAGGAAUAUUGUCUAUGUCAAAGGUCCAUUUUUGUAGCCUUAUGGUUUGGGGAAGAACACCAAUUGAUGUAAGGUCAUGAUUUGUGUGUACAUUGAUAUUUUUCUCAUCCUAUAUUUUGGCUUUAUAUUGGAGCUUUUGAAAGCUUCUCAUUUUGAGAGCACUUUUGAAUUUAUAAUUUUAUUGGCUCAUAUUAUUUUAUUUUUAUUCAUUAUAAUUUAUGGACGCAUUAACCUUAUUUAAGACACUAUCACCUCAUCAUUAAGAAGGUAAAAAAGUGUAGAAAAUUAUCAUCUAGGCUAUUCAUGAUAUUGCCUUUAAGAGGAAGCCAAGGUGGGAGGCCUUGACCCUUUCACCCCAAUUUUCCCUCACCCUUUCCCAAUCCACAAAUUGUAAUUAAUUGCAUAUGCUUCCACAUAAAUGAUGGCUCAUGUUGUAGUCUUUGUGAUCCUCCAAUCUACUCAAAUCACUUGUUCAUUGGUGGCAACCCUUCUUUGAUUAGAGCCCACAACAUCUUUCAUUAUCUUGCCUCAUGCAUAAGCUUUUUGUGAUUGGUAACAUUCUUAAUUGCCCUUCAAUUCUUACAAGAAAGGUUCCAAUCAAAUUACUCAUCAAUUUGAGUUCAUUCAUCAUACUUGUUACAUACUGUUGAGAUGUAAUCAAUGGAGAGAAAACAAGUUUCUUGGGAAAAGAAAUUUCCUAAGUUUUGAUUCAAUAAAGAGAGUUGUGUUGGUGUCAUUAGGUUUGACAAGACCACAAAGAAAUCAGGGGUGAGAGGCGAGUUGGUCUUUUUUUCUUCAUAAUUGAAUUAAGAUGAAAUAAAUCUAAUGUAAAAGGUAAGAAAUAUUACCGUUUAUGUGAGCUCUCUCUUUUUUGGUAUGAAUGAUUAAGUUGAUAUAGUAAGAGAGAUAUUACUUUAAAAUGGUAUACCCUUUCUAAACUACUUCACUGUAUAGUGAUACAUUCUCUAUAUUCCAUUGAUCAAUAGAAAAUACAAUACGCCAAUAGUAGGCACAAAUUUACUUCUUCUAGAUUGAUCAUUUGGUAUCCUAAAUGCACCCAACACUCAUGGCUUCAAUCACUCGAACAUUAGAGAUCUAGACCUAGCUCACCAUUUUAUAUUUAUAGUUCUAGAAAUGCAUCAGUAGUUGAAAGCAGUAUUUACUAUUUAUGAGAUAUUUUUAGUACAAUAAAUGAAAUAAUAUCAAGGAGAAUUGGUCUUAUCUUACAACCAUUUUAUAUGAAACUUCAUUCUAGCAUGAAAAAAAGAUGUCAACAAAUUUCAUCUCACUACCUUAACUCAUUGAAAGAUGUCAACAAAUUUCCAUUUCGAAGUGUUAAUUUGUCAAUACCAAUCUACAUAAUUAUUAUAAAAUAUAUGUUAUGCUAAAUCAUCACAACACAACACAAAAUCCUUUUGUUACUUAACCCACAUCAUACUCUUGUGAGUUGAUAAUAGUCAUAACAUCACUAGAUUGUCAAUAGUAUAGUCCAUUUGGACAUAAUAUAUGCUACUAUCUAAGGUAGUGUGUUUGUAAUUUACUGUGUAUUUUCUACAAUAGGUCCACUAAAUAUUAUAAUUAUAUUACACAAAAUCGUUGCUUCUACAUGUAGAGAAUAUCAUCUUCAGCCCAAAAAUAAUUAAUAUCCCUUGUGACCAUUUUUUGUUAAAACUUUUUUACUAUUCCAUAUUUUAUAUAUAACAUGCAUCUCAUUUUAUAGACACUAGUGGUUGCCAUUAAUUCAUCCUAUUUCAUAUUUAUUAACUUUUAAAAACCACUGUGUCUUUCUUAAAUGACCCCAUUGAUGGCCACAUUUAACAUGUUUUAUGUGAACUUUGAAUGAUUUGAAGGAAUUACACAACUAAAAGACUGGCUCAUUAAUGAUAGUUUUUCACACACUAUUGAAAGCCUUAUGAUAAUUCAAUAUUUCUACUGUAGUCUUUACUACAAUAGUUAAUUCUUUGAUAUUUGUUGCUGACAUAAUCUACAAAUGAAUUUAUGAUAGCAACUGACUAGGUCAAGAAAAAUCAUUACUCUAAUGCUUCUUCAUGUGCUAAUUAUUAAUGAAUAGCAUAAAUUAUAUCAUUUGUCUAUAUAUCUUAACUUACAUCUAUCAUAUGGUUGAGGAAGCUGAUUUCUUCUAUGAUGAAUACAUACUUUACUAGAUUGAGGAUAAGACAUUGGUGCCUCUCAAUUACUAUAGAAGUUUAUGUACAUAUAAAAUAAGCUACUUAUUCUUAAUAGUAUUUUUUUUGAAAGCUAUGUAAUUUAACACAUUGUUUCACAAUUAAUCAUUAUUUCACAUGAUGACAUCCUAUCAAAUUUGUAUUUCUCUUAUUUAUUCUAAAUAAUGUACGUUUUGAUGUGGUCACCCAUAGGCAUAACAAUAUGAUCAUCGAGUAUUUACUUGUUGCACAACAUUGGACAAUAUUAAGCAUCCUUGGUCUCUAUUUUAAGUGAACUCCAUCUUAUUACUACUUGUAAUUGACGACCAUCUCUUCAAUAACUCCAUUUAUUUUAGUGGCAUUACCACUACAAAACUGUUAGGAACCUCCAAACACUAAACUAUCGCUGCUUCACUUGAGCCAUGACUAUAAUCAUACUAUAAAAUUGUAAAGUUUGUCUUGCUAUAUCAUUGAGUUUCAAUGAAAAUGACAUUAUUUGUCCUAUAUACUCUUGCAUGAUGUUAGUGUGGUUUAGUUAAUGCAACAUAUCUUGAAUUUCCCAAAUAUAAGUUAAAGAUUGAAAUCAUUAAUCAAGUUCUAUAGAGAAAUCUGUGUGAAAUAUAAUGAGGUUUGGGCAUCGAUACUCUACCUACAUUUUCUGCCAUAAUGACAUCUCAUACUAUGUGUAAUGGCCAUUGAUAGCUACCUCCCCCCUCUUAUGUCUAAUUUAUGUAGAAAUAUCAGUCAACAUCUUAUAAAAACGUUUAGAUUUUUUAAACAUCUAUACUACUUUGUAAGUCUUUAGUAUAAACUUUAACCCAUGGAGCACCUCUCCCUCCUGGUGCAUUAUUUUGUACAUGAUUUUUGUAUCACUUUCUCCAUGAGAUUAUCUACUACUUUAUAUAGACAUUUUUUGUUAUCAUCUUUUUUCUACAUAUUACUGUUUACAAUGGUUUUACAACUCAUCAUUAAUGGUUAAAACAAAAUCAGUCAAAUUUUCUUCCUGAUGAAUAAUUCACUGGCCAUUGGUUCCCCUCUCCUAAACCAUACUAUAUUAAUCUUUUAUAAGAUGAAAGAUAGAAAAUUAGUAGCAUAACAUUGGCAAUGAAAGUAUACUUUGUUACUACAUUGUCAUAUUGUUGUCUAUUCAAGUGUGUUUCAAGCUUGUGUCAGCUCAAAGUGGCAUAAUUUAGGUGCCUAACUUUUAUUAUACAUUAAAUUAGGCUUGAAAUUAUUAAAUUAAGUGAUAUAAGAUUAAUAAUGACCUCAUACAUGACGUGUCACAUGGUGUAGUUUUACUAUUUUGCGCAUGUCAUCUUACUGUACUAAUAUGUGGCCAUGGGGGUUGGCACUUCAUGGUGUUUGGGGAGGAAAACUAUUAGUUGUAAGUGAUUUUUAUUUUUAUUUUUUCGUGCCCUAUCUAGCUACAAUUUUAUGUUAACAUCUAUGGAACAUUUUUACAUAUCAAUCCUUGUGUAGUGAAUUUUUGGUCCCUAUGGUUUGAUGCAUUUUAAGUGUUAUGCCUGACAUAAUAUGAUUUUUUAUCAACUUCAUAAUUACUAAUAAAGAUAAAAAUUGAGGCUUAUCAACAAGUUUUAAGAAAGUAUUUUAGACAACCAAAAAUAUCAUGUUCACAAUAUAUAAUAUAUAAUACACAGUAAACACUUUUCGUACAUGAAAAUUGGAACAUAAGUUGUAUUUCAGAAGAUAAACAUCCUAUUUUAAGUAAUGCAUUUGAGAAAUUUCCUUACCAGGAUUAGAUAUUAAGAUUAUAUGUGCAUUUCGUGGGAGCUUGAGCCAGCGGGCACGUUUCUCGCGAGCUACUCACGAGCUUCUGCCACAACAUCACUUCCACGGCUCAGCCCCCCGCCGCAGCUUGAGCCGGCUCGAAGAAAUCUCCCACAGCGUGCAAUCGGCGGCGGGCGGCGGCGGCCGACUACCCCCGCACGAGGAUGUCGCGGUUUUAGCGCUGUCGGCGCCGAAGCGGAGGGAACCGUUGGAUGCUUUCGGGCCGACGAGGCCGCACGGUGACCGUUGGAUCAGGUGAGCCUCCGACGGGUGUAAGGCCGCGUCACAUGCCAGGCCACGCUGGACGGGAAGUCCCAUAAUGGCCGUUGGAUUGAAAACUUGACGGUGUAGAUGAAUACGGGGUAGCUCGGUGGUGACACCGGGCGUGAGCGGGGCUCGGGGUGGUCCUCUAUAUAAACCCCAAGGCUCUUACCCUUCCUGGUCAUCUUUAACCGGUUCUCUCUCUCUCUUCUCUCUCUGUCUCUCUCUCUCUCUGNNNNNNNNNNNNNNNNNNNNNNNNNNNNNNNNNNNNNNNNNNNNNNNNNNNNNNNNNNNNNNNNNNNNNNNNNNNNNNNNNNNNNNNNNNNNNNNNNNNNNNNNNNNNNNNNNNNNNNNNNNNNNNNNNNNNNNNNNNNNNNNNNNNNNNNNNNNNNNNNNNNNNNNNNNNNNNNNNNNNNNNNNNNNNNNNNNNNNNNNNNNNNNNNNNNNNNNNNNNNNNNNNNNNNNNNNNNNNNNNNNNNNNNNNNNNNNNNNNNNNNNNNNNNNNNNNNNNNNNNNNNNNNNNNNNNNNNNNNNNNNNNNNNNNNNNNNNNNNNNNNNNNNNNNNNNNNNNNNNNNNNNNNNNNNNNNNNNNNNNNNNNNNNNNNNNNNNNNNNNNNNNNNNNNNNGGUUCUCUCUCUCUCUUCUCUCUCUGUCUCUCUCUCUCUCUGUCUCUCUCUCUCUCUCUCUGUCUGUCUUUGUUUCCUUGGGGAGAUAACGGACAGGAAGCCGAGGCAGCUGUAGGAAGUGGAGCCGUGGAGGCAGGGGAUUCAAACGCCUAGGGUUUUUCGGCGGGAACGGGGCCGUGUCGAGAUUGAACGGGCAGGUAUCGCCCUUGCAUCCUUCUUCUUGUUUCUAUUAGUGCGCGUGCGCGUCUCUCCGCGGCGUCGUCUUCCCCUUUUAUUGGCGGUGAUGCAUUCUAUUUGCUUCGGGGUUGUGGUUACUGCGGAAAAUGUUGGAGCAUUUUUUUGCCCCUCAAGACUGUUGCGUCAAGCACUUUGUUUUAUUAUCAGCUGGGUCGAGAUCUUCUCUUCCUAUCUUUUGUAUUAAAAUUCCAGAGUUAAAAAAUUUUCUUUCCUUCUCAACACGGGCUUGAUGGAUAUCACCGAAAUGAUGAUGGCCUUUUCAUUAAUUUCGUCCUAUUUGGAAUUUCAGGCUAGGGUUCUCUUGGUGCUGACAAAGGGAGAAAUAUAGCCGUUUAGGGUUUGCGCCACUAACGUAGUGGGACGGAGAAGUCUGACUCUGAGGAACAGCUUCCAAAUACUGGAAUUUAAUCUAUUUUCCUUCCAGUGGAAAAUAAUAUCGUGGGUUGAAUUGGUCGGCGAAGUUUCUCUCUGGAAUAGGCUCCAAAUGCUGGAGAAAAAAUUGUCUGCUGUUGCUGUGAAGGUUGAAGACGAAAUCUGACUUUGUUGUGGAUCUGUGUACAGUGGUCAUCCCAAAUCCUAGUUUUUUUUUUCUAACGAAGGUAUUUGACAGCCAUUUUGGGGGAUGAAUAACCGGAUUAUGAUUGGCAUUUCCAAUCUUAAAGUGAGCAUAUGGCAUCCACUGUUGUCCUAGAGUACACUAAACGCAAGAGUCUUCGAAAUACAACUUUAGCAACUAUGGGAAAGGCACAAAGGUUCACAAAAGGUCUCUCUUCAGGCUUUAUCCCGGAUUAUCGACAUGCAGUGGAAACAGUCGGCGAGUCAGAUGGCUUUGUGAACUCAGGUCACAUCGACUCGGAGGACUCAUCUGCCCCCAAAAGAAAAUGCAUCAGCUUAAAUACUGAAGGGUCUGAUUGCUUCAAUGUACCCGUGCAAACUUUUUCAGUUUCACUGAUGUCAAGUUUGGAAAAAAAGCAAUUGGAACAUAGGCUACGAGAGGAACUUGAACAAAUUCAAUUACUUCAGAAAAAAGUCCUUUCCAGGGCCGUUAAUGGUGUUGCUGUUUCUUCAACAACUGAUGCUUCUGGGAAGAAGCGUCCUGCUGUAGGCCGUACCGCUCCUCAGAUAAAACGCGGACAUUCAGGGCGAUUUGAGCCUGUGAAAAGCGUUCCACAACUUUCCUUGCCCAAGAGCAUCAAUGCAGCACUGAUUAAACAGUGUGAGCAGCUUCUCAAUCGUUUGUUGCAGCAUCCCUAUGCUUGGGUCUUCAAACAACCAGUUGAUGCAGUAAAGUUGAACAUUCCAGACUAUUACACUGUUAUUAAGCACCCAAUGGAUUUGGGAACUAUAAAAACUAAAUUAACUUCAGGCACGUACGCCAGUCCUUUGGGAUUUGCGUCAGAUGUUAGGCUUACUUUUUCCAAUGCAAAGACAUAUAAUCCGCCUGGGAAUGAUGUCCACAUAAUGGCAGAAGCGAUGAGCAAUCUCUUUGAGUCAAAAUGGAAAUCCAUUGAAAAGAAGGUUCCUACAGUUGAUUCCCAUGCUGCAAGAGAAUCUGAAGCUGUAAAACCUCCAGAUAUGAAGAAAAGAAAAGCUCCAUCAGUUAACCAAGCUUCUACAAUACAAGCUGGUGCAAAGAGUUUGAAAAAUGAGGUGGAAAAUUUGAAGGAAAGAGUGACCGGUGAGGAGAAGCAGAAGCUAAGCAGUCGCUUAGAAUCCUUGAUUCCUGUGUUACCAGACCAGAUUAUUGAAUUCCUGAAGAAAAAUAGUGGUAAUCAGAGCCAAACCACUGAUGAUGAAAUAGAGAUUGAUAUUGAUGCUCUUGAUGAUACUACAUUUCUUGAACUACGAAAGCUUUUAGAUGAUUUCUGCUCUGGGAGGGAGCUGAAGCAUGAGAUGAAAGCUGAUCUUGGUGAAAUAGAGGUACGCACUUGAUAGCUAUUCAUUCCAGUCAGCUGUAGUUUCUGUUGCUCGCCAAUGUCAUAAAGUAAGAGUUUUUUUGUGAUCAUGUAAUUUUUAUUUUGGUGCAGGUAUUUAACGAAUCUGGCGUCAGCAAUUCAUCAAUGCAGCUCCACAAAGGUUGGUCUCCUUAUUUCCUGAUUAGUUUGUUGUAUUAUACAUUAUUCUUUUAUGAAAAAAAUUAAUUAUUAAUUAUUUAUCUUCAGGCAAUGAGCAUCCGAUGGAUGAGGAAGUAGAUAUUGUGGGCAGCGAUCAUCCCAUGUCAAGCUACCCUCCAGUGGAAAUAGAGAAGGAUACAACUUUGAGAAAUAGCAAAUAUAGUAGUUCUAGCAGUUCGACUAGUGAGACAGGUUCUUCAUCUAGUGGUGAGUGGUCAUUUAGCUGAACUCGUUUUUCCAUUUAAUGCGCCGUUGCUCUUUUCUCUAUUAUCCCGACCUGUUUCCUUCGUUACUAUGGAUAGAUAUAGCGAGGUGAUUAUAAAGUUCCAUCUUUAUAAGAAAGUGACUAAUGCCAUGGAUCAUCAUACGAAAUGAACUGUGGGACAGGGUAAAUGUGCAACGGUAGAAAAAAUUCCCGUGAUUAGUGUCUUGAAAGGACAUGCGGUUAUAGAGAGGAAUCCCGUUUGCAACAUAUAGUUAUAGGUGCAUCUCCCCGUAAAGAUCCCUGUGAUAUAUAUCCUGGAGGGCGAGAUGCACAAGAAAAGGAAUCCCUUAUCAAAAGUAUGGGAAGCUGAGUCUCUCUCCCUAGUAAUGUUCGACUAGUAAUCUUCCAUCGUAAGGUUUUCCCUUGUGUGGAAGCUGAGUCUCUCUCUUUCCAAGCCAGAUUCUCUUAUUGUGAUGUCUCAUAAUUUGUGCGCACUCCAACAAGUCCUUUGCAACACGAGAAUAUUAUUUUUAUGAUAAAUUAAGGAAAACCUGAAUAUUUGUUUAUCUUUGGAUGACUUGCAUCCACUGAUCUGUUUCUAUCUCGAUAACCCACGUCUUCACAUCUCACGUGUUGCUUUACAUGAAUGUCUUCAAUGGAUCUUAGUAUGGACUGCCGGAGCUGAGCUUACAAUGGAAGUCUCUAUUGAUCUUAUUACAGGGCAGUGGAAUGUCCGUGGGGCUAUUUUCAUUUUAUCUGCUGAUAAUCCUCUCAUUAUAGGAUGGAAGCAACAUCAGUUCAAGGUGUCUUCGUUGGAAGCUACUUUGCAUUGUGUCCAACGUCUACUCUGCUUUUUUGAAAUAAAGGAAGAGAAUGAUAAAAGAUUAGUGGAUUGACAGGUUAACUCAUUUAUGCGGGGAACAAAUGCCCGAAAGAAAUUAUUCAUUCCUCCUCCCAACCGCUGAAAAAUAUGAGGCCAUGGCUCCAAAUCAGUGUACCCAACUCUUUAAACUAGAUAGAAGAUACCAAGAGAGGAUGGUGCCAAGAGCAGUUCUCCGAAAUUCACCUUCACAGAAAAAGCAAAAAGUUCCCCUAGCAUUUCCAGCACUGUGUAUUCCAUCUCAAAGUUCACAAUAGAAUUCUUAAAAAUAGGUUUUUGGCCUCAUUAUGGAAACCGAAUGGAUAUAUUUCGAUGCAUCUAAUUUAAGUUGCAAGAGUUGACAUCUAAGUGGAAUGCGUGAAAUCUUUUGAUCAAUGCCACAGUUUUUGUGCUGUUUCACGCAUGUUGAGAAGUAUGUGCCUCUGAAAUUAAGGGGAGAUGGAAGGGUCCCCUGUUUAAGAGAUCUAUGUCUUUGAGAUGACCCUUGGAUGACUACUGAUAAUGAUUUUGAUCUUGCAUUUUAGUUGAAGUAUCCCACCUCUGUGUAGAAUUCAUUUAAUUUAAGCUAAGAAUUAUUAUUGCUAAAUUGUUAUUCCCAGUGCUUGCCUUUUGAAGGUUGAUCUUGCCUUUUUGUUGUGUGUUUUUGGAUUUUUUUUUUCUUAUUAGAAACGCUUCCUAACAAAGUUCCUCUUUGUUUCGUGUGUUCAAUUUUCAAUGAAAAAAAGUCAGAAUGAUGAAAAAGAAUGGUGCAUCUAUUCCUUUUGAAAUUGUCUCCCUGUUCUAGGAUACUUCUGAUAAACUUACGUGCUGUUGGCGGAGAAAGCACCAGCAUGAUGAAGAACCAUGAUGAAAAAUAAUGUCGGAUUUUUUCUUUGCCACCUUUAUAUCCCGAAACACCAUGAUAAAAAAUUAAGAUCAGAAGCAUCAUAUAUAAUCAUGUUGAGUAUGUUCAUUGAGAUAAACUGGAACAAGAAAGAUAAUGGUGUAUGUACUACCGCUAUUGUUUGGCUAUAAUUGUAAGUACUGUCAGCAUUCUAUGGUUUGUCUUAUUCAACUCGAUAAUAAAAAAAUCAGUCUAACGUCAGUUAGAUAUAUUAAGUUAGAAGACUCCAGAUGAUUCAAAUGGAGGAAAUAAUUGUUCCAGAAUUUUUUAUUUUUCAUGUUUCAAUUUUUCUAGUUUAGCUGAUUGUCUCGUCCAUCAAUGAUUUAUUGAAAUGACGGGAGGAAAUGAAAUAAAAUAUUGAGUUUGGUUGGGUCAGGAGAAUUACGUGAAAUAAAUCUAUUAGAAGAUUGACGGAGUGAGUAUUAAUCCGUGAUUAAGUUGGUACAUUUGACUUCGGGCGGCUUGUUAAUAGAUUCAAUCAUCAAUUUUGUGACAGUUUGCAAACAAUCAAUGGAGUUUCUAAAGGGAGUCAGAUAGGUGUAAUGAAGGAAGCUAUGAAUUUAUAGAGAUUCUAUUGAGUAAUAUCUGGUUGAUUCUUACUUCUUUUCCUGAGACAUGGACAAGCUAAUCCUUAACCUUCGUCAAGGACUCCUCUCUCUUUUGAAGUUAGAAGAUCACGUCUCCUUAGAGAAUGUGUAGCGACACAGUCCAAUUACGAGAGAGGAAUUUCUUAUGAAAAAUAAAAUAUUGGGAAGACAUUCAGGGCGAUUCUAGUGAGAACCAUGAAAUAUAUUGGAAAGUUUAUAGUUCUUACUGAAAUAUGUGGCUUAAUUUUCUCAAAUUUUCAUGUAACCUACUUCCCAAUGCUGAAGAGUUCUCAUGGUUCUUGUCAUGCCGUCUAGGCCUCAGUGAAUUUGGUCAAAGUUCUAUUCAACACAUUAUUGUUGGUGAAAUGAACUUUGUAUGAUGUGACCAUUUCUGUCCCUACGACUGCUGGAGUUUGACUUUACUUCAUUUCUGCUAAAAUUGUUUAAUUUCUUUCUUCUUGUUUGAUAUCUAAUGGCCUACACAUAGCCGUCUAAAUUAUUAGGUUGAUUCCACACCAAACACCACAGAGAAAACCACCGGCAUCCCCCUUAAUUUUGAAUUUCUCUUUUUUUCCUUCAGCAUGUUAUUUAAAAUAUGGUUUUAGUCAGCAGCCCUUUUGUCUCAUUUAUCAUAAUUGUUCGACAUUUCACAGCUUUCUUCCUCGUGCAUUUUAAAUCUAGUUUUAAUAGAUUAUUCCUUCGGAGGUGAAUCUCCCAUCUUCAUUCGAGCCACCUAACUUGGCAUAAAUUAACGCAUGCUGAACCGCUGGCUCAUCUAUUUCCUAGGUGGUAUCGAAGAUUUUUUUUUUUACUCGAAAUUCUAUUCUUCAUGAACUCCUGGUCAUCCUUCCUUCCCUGGGUCUGGCAGACGAACUUUAAGCCAUCCCUGGAUUCUGUUUGUGUUUGUGUGACUUUGCUUGGCUUCUCUAGUCUGUCUCUGUAGAGGCCAGCACCGAGGUGUGCUACUGCUAGAUCCAUUUACGGAUUGACUCAGAUCUUCUUCGUAGAACGAUGACCGGAAAGGAUGAAUUGUGGUAUUCGGAGGGCGCAAGGGGAACAAUGAUUAAAAAAUUAGCUCCUUGUAGAUUUUCGUGGGUCUUCUACAUUCGUGAAUUUAAUGUAUUUAUUCGCACCUUCAAUAAUCUCCCAAUUUUGACAGACUCGGAUUCGGCGAGUUCGUCCGGAAGUGAAUCACUCGCAGCGAAGGGCCCCUUGCCCACGAACAAUAGCGUGAAGGUUUGAAUGCUUCCCACUCCUUUCCAUGCCUGUUGCAUCCGAUUCUGUCAUGGGAGAGGAAAUGAGAUGAUGCCUUCGCCCUUCUUGCAGGACACCGCGAUGUCCGCCGCCGCUUCUGAGCAUGAGAUGGCGAACCAGAUCGAUGGAAAUCGUAAGCUGCGCUUCUCCUGAACGCCUUCCUUCUGUGCUCAGUUUUGUGGAGUGCUGUUCUUGCCUCCCGGAUGCUUCAAUUUCUGACUUCCUUUCAUCUAUUGGAUUAAAUCUAGGUUAUGCCAGUGGGGGCUCGGAACAGCCCGAGCAGAGGGGCGAACCCAGUGCCGCAUCUGCCGAAGCAGAUGAUCGCCAUGAGGGUAAGCAUGGAUUACUCAUGGAAAGAGAGAGAGAGAGCGAGAGAUAGAGAAGAGAGAGAGAGGGAGAGGAGGGGGGGGAGAGAGAGAGAGAGAGAGAGAGAGAGCUGUAGAAGACGUAGGUNNNNNNNNNNNNNNNNNNNNGGGGGAGGAGAGAGAGAGAGAGAGAGAGAGAGCUGUGAAAGACGUAUGGGGGGUUGAGAAUUUGAUCAGGCACUUAGCCUUGUCUUUUCCCUAUGAAACUUUUAGGGGGCCAUGCUCCAUCUGAGAGGCAGGUCUCCCCAGAAAAGCUCUACCGUGCUGCCUUACUGAGGAGUCGCUUUGCGGAUACCAUACUCAAGGCACGCGAGAAGACCCUCGACAAGGUUUGGUCACUCGGAAGCCUCCAUCACGAGUACCAUUUUUGUAUGAGCCUCGGAGGUUUUGUGGCGUCUGACUGUGGUGUGAUGUUGCCCAGGUUGAUAAGGGGGACCCCGAGAAGCUUCGACGAGAGCGGAAGGAGCUUGAGAGGCAGCAGCAGGAAGGUCUGGCUGCCGCCGCUCCAGUGGAUGAGCGCUGCUUCCGCUCUCAGGAUGGAUGCUGAUUUUUUUCUGGCCUGUGCAGAGAGGGCCCGGUUGCAGGCGGAAGCCAGAGCCGCCGAGGACUUGCGGCUGCAGGUGGAGGCCAGAGCCGCUGCCGAGGCCAAGAGGAAGCGGGAACUCGAGCGAGAGGCGGCGCGGCAGGCCCUUCUGAAGGUGCGGCCUCCGGUUGCCGGCGGCAAUGCCGAUGCUUGGUGGUGGUGGUGGUGGUGGUUCACCCUGGCUGACCGAUGAUGAUGAGCUUGUUUUGCCAGAUGGAGAAGACGGUGGAGAUUGGCGAGAACAGCCGGUUCCUCAAGGACCUGGAGAUGCUCGGCGCCGACCAUAACCUGCCGAGUUCCAUGGACGAGACCAGCCCGGAGCUCCCCCAGGACGGGUUCAAGUUCAUCGGCAGCAAUCGGCUGGAGCAGCUCGGGCUGUACAUGAAGGCGGACGAGGAGGAAGACGAGGUUGAGCCCGCCGCCGGCCAUGGCGGUGCUAACGACGUCGAGGAGGGGGAGAUCGACUGACCGCAGCGGUGUGGAGGCGUCCCCUUUUUCCGAGCCCCGGCGCGGCGGCGCAUCUUCCGCCUGAAGUUUUGUGCAACCUGGACAGCUCCUGCGGGGCCCCGGAGGGCUCCGAUGACUGCGGCCAUAUACGGGAACUGUACAGAGCGAGGCCAUUCGGAGGGAGCUGCCGGGGCUGUGUGGUCCCAUUCUUUCUGCUACACCGUCGUGCCACAUUAAACACACGCGUCUUAAAUUGUCAUUCAAGUCGGAAAUUAGAACAAUACCACAUGCCGCCUUACGUUCCUUCAACGGAACCCACUCCACCUUCCCUGUCAAUCGCCGUCGCCACCGGCGUCGCCACCUUCCCCGUCAGUCGCCGGGAACCCACACAAUUCCCGGGGGGCAGCAGGAGAGCGCUGCGGGCAUGGCGGAGGCGGAGAUGUGGAGGUGGGCGGCGCUGGCGACGGCCGUGCUGAUCCAGGCGGCGGCGGGGACAAACUUCAACUUCCCGGCGUACUCGACGAGUUUGAAGGCCGCGCUGGGGGCGUCUCAGGUGGGGCUCAACGGGCUUGCCCUGGCCUCCGAUCUCGGCAAGGCCCUCGGCUGGUCCGCCGGCCUGGCCGCUCUAUGCCUCCCCCUCUCCGCCGUCGUCGCCGCCGCGGCGGGAAUGGGCCUCGUCGGGUACGGCCUGCAGUGGCUCCUCGUCGCCCGUCGCCUCCCUAUCCAAUACGCCUCGGUAAGCCCCCUCCGUGAGCCACGGUCCUGGACGGCAAUGGCGGUGGGCGCUGGCCCACCGUCUUCCUCUUCUCCGGUUCCCCUUCGCAGGGCGGAAGGGUCUUAAAUCCCGAGAUGUCGUUCACAGGUGUUCGUUCUCUGUUUGGUGGCGGGCUGCAGCAUCUGUUGGUUCAACACCGUCUGCUUCGCCCUCUGCACCCGCGCCUUCCCCUCUCCCCGCCGCCGCUCCCUCGCCCUCUCCCUCUCCGUCAGCUUCAAUGGGGCCAGCGCCGCUUUCUACGAACUCCUCGCCACGGUCCUCCCUGGCCACCACCCCCCCGGGUCUUCCUACCUCCUCCUCAGCGCCACCAUCCCCCUCCUCGCAUCCGCCAUCGCCAUUCCCCCCGCCCUCCGCUUCUCAUCCCCGAUGGCCGGAGCAGACGACCACAGUUGCGACGAGGACGAAUCUGAGGACGGUGUCUUCCUCCUCCUCCUUGGGUUCGCCGUCCUCGUGGGAGUUUACCUCCUCGUCCUCGCCCCCUCCGGCACCGCUCCCGCAACCUGCUUCCUCCUCGCCGGCGGCUCCCUUCUCCUCCUUCCUCUCCUCUGCGUCUGGCGUCGGGGUGGGCGCACCCGGAACUGUCCCGAGGACCUGGAGAUCCUCCGCGAGCUGCUCCCUGCCAAAGUAGAGGGAUCCCCGAGAGGGAGGCACGGGUUUACCGACGGCUGCGGCGGCGGCUUUGGAGGACGACGGUGGCUGGGGAGGGAUCGGAUGUCCGUGAUGGGAGAGGAGCACGGGCCCCGGCGGCUGGUGAGCCGGGUGGACUUUUGGAUCUACUACCUCGCCUACCUUUGCGGGGGCACGGUGGGGCUGGUCUACAGCAACAAUCUUGGGCAGAUCGGUGAGAGCCUGGGGAGGGGCGAGGAGGGGACGGCGGCGCUGGUGGGUAUCUACUCUUCCUGUUCCUUCUACGGCCGCCUCCUCGCCUCUUUUCCCGACCUCCUCGCUGGUGAGUUCCCCUGCCGGACGCCACCCAAUAUUACAGCAGGCGGCGCGGGCCGUAAUGUGGCGACGAUUGUGGCAGGAAGAAGGAAUGGGAUCGCGAGAACAGGGUGGCUGGCGGCGGGGCUGGUCCCGAUGCCCGCCGCUUUCUUCCUUCUCGCCGGGUGGGGAAACUGCGGCAGCGUGCUGCCGUUCUGCACCGCGGCGGUCGGCCUCAGCUCGGGUUUCGUCUUCGCGGCGGCGGUGGCGGUGACGGCGGAGCUCUUCGGCGCCGAGAGCGUCGGCGUGAACCACAACAUCGUCGUCACCAACAUUCCCCUCGGCUCCCUCAUCUACGGGCUCCUCGCGGCGCUCUUCUAUGACGCCGGCCCCGGCGGCGCGGGGUGCAGGGGGUGGCGCUGCUACGCGGCGACGUUCUGGUUGUGGGGAUGCAUCACGGCGGUGGGCGUGGGCUUCAGUUCAGCCCUCUUCCUGCGGACCCGGCUGGCUUAUGCAACCCCCUUCCCGCCGCCGCUGCAGGAAGGGAUAGCCCUCCUCACGUCGAACAAGGAGAAGGGACGACCGCUGCACCGCCUCCAAUGUUCAUGAUUUGGAUCUCUCUCUUUCUCUCUGCGCAUCUCUCCGAUGUCCUUUGCGCGGCGGAAGGAAGUACAAUUGAAGAAGCCUUAACGGGGUCUCUCUCUCUCUCUAUCUCUAUCAAUAUCUAAAUUUGCUGUCUUUUCAAAGCCACGCGCCUUUGAACCAUAGAUAACGACGCCUGACGUCAAAUAGCGUAAACCUGACGUCAGUUUUAAGCCGAGUCAAAUUCUCCAGAUCCCCCCCAUUCGUCCGAAAGAUCUCUUCGAUCACAUCUUGUGGCCCUCCCUUCAGCGAAUAGCCAGCACUCCAUUUCAUCAUCCCCAGGUAAGGAGCUUCCUCCAACAUCUCUCUCUCCAGAACUCCGGCGAUGAUGAUAAGUUCUUUCCUAUGGUGGCUCCCGGUGGCGGUGGUCAUCACCAUGGCCUUGAGAACAAAGGUCUUCCGUUCGCUGCCGUUCACGCGAAGCCCCGAUUGGUGGAGAACAAAUACUACGAAGACGAUUUAAACAAAUUGGAUGAAUUGGUUCAUGCGUAACUGAUACUCGGCAAUAUAUGCGCAAAUGUAAUGCCACUAUGCUAUUCAAGAACCUUCCGCGAUUAGGACCUUCUGUAAAUAGAAACCUCUCAAUCGGCCUAUAAAUGCAUAACUACCACAGAUUGUGAAGUUAAGCGUUGGACAAUUCUUCUAUACAAUAAAAUUCUUUCUCUUCCCUUAUGUUGUGUUGCCUUCUCUAGUUUAUUCUCGAGUUCUUUACAAAUACUAUGAUGACAUCGGCUUCCCGUGAGGCCACAUAGGUUGUCGAUGAGGUGGGGAAACCCGUCCUUCCCCCAUGAAACCUACGUCCACUACUAGAUGGUGAUGAGGUUCUACCAGCCAAAGUGCAGUAGUGCCGCUGGCCCACCAUGGGAGCCUCUUGAGUUCUUCCUUCCCAUAAACACUGCCCCUUUGAACAAUACCCCUGAAUACAUUAUUGUUGGCAAUGUGGGCACCUGCAAUAAGAUUCUUUGGCAGACCUUCAGCCUCAGGUGGGAGACUCGCCCGAUUGUCACUUGGGUCCUUGAACUGUAAGAGAUAUAGAUAGGUUGGGAACCCAAGAGAGCUCCCUGGUGGGUAUGAGGAGAAGUGGAUGCUGAGCCUCCACACGAUCAAGACUUCAUCCCAAAUAAGAUCUGAAAUGGGUAGAGGUUGUAACAGCCCCACAUGUUUAAGACAUUCAGUCUUAUCUUUUUGACAUCUGAUGCAAACUGAUACAUAUGUUCAAAUUUGGUUUUCAUUCUUGUCCACCAAAGAUGCUAUUUGAUCUUGUAGUAAGUGUGGGCAAAUCUUGAAUGUCCCCCCAAAAACAAAAUCAUGAAAUUCAUGUAAAAUGUCUAGACUAAGAUAAAGUUUUUGGGUAAUAUUAUACUUCAUCCAUGUUAUAAAUAACUUUGAUUCAUUGAAUAUGCUGCCCAUUUGUUUGGAUUGUUGUAACUCCCUAUCAUAAUGACAUAUAUAUCUGGAUCUUGCUAAUUUUCUUUGGUAAUAAUCUUUAUAUCAAUGAGUUCUAGUCGUGAUACUUGCAUAACUUGUAUUGUUGGUAGACUUGUAUGACGAGAUAGGUCAUCCUCUACUUGAUUCUCUCUUCUCGCUUUAAAUCUAAUUUCUAAAUUAUGAUAAAGAAUUUUCGCUAACCAUUUCUAAUAACUUAGUAAUAUUUUCUGCUGCUCUAUAGUAAACUUUAGUCUCCUUUUGUCAGUGUAUAUCAUGAAUUUUUGUGCCAACAAAUACUAUUUCCACUUCAAAAUUGCCAGAACCACUGUCAUCAAUUCUUUUACAUAUACUAAUUUGUAUCUUUGUAUGGAUGAAAAAGAAUGAUUGAAAUAAGACAUGAACUUUACAUUGGAACUAUGGCCACACCCUUGCUAGAGACAUCUACCUCAGAUUCAAAGGGUAAUUUGAAAUUAGGUAGUGCAAGUACUAGUGCGAUGUGAGAGCCUCUUUUAAUUGCACAAAUAUGUAGUCAGUCUACUCGUUCCAAUUAAAUACAUCUCAUUUAGGGAAUUAUACUAGGAGCCAUAUGAUGCAAUCAUAAUUUUUUAUGAAGUGCUUAUAACGUCCACUCAAUCUCAAGAAGCUGUAAAGUUACUUCAAAUUGGAUUAGGCCAUUAUUGAAUGACUGAUUUUUUCAACAUUUACAAUCACUUUGUCAUGAUAUCCAAUACCCUAAAUAUGUGACUUUUUCUUAUCCAAAGUAGUAUUGGGAUUUCUUGGGGUGUAUGUAAAGUUGAUUGAAAGUUAAAAUUUAGAAAAGUGAUGGAGAUGUUGACAAUACUUCUCCUUGUCUGCACUUUAAAUGAGUAAAAACUUGCAUAUAAACUCAUCAAAUAAUCAGUUCAUUAAUACUUGGAAGAUUAAUGGCAUGUUCCAUAGCUCAAAGGGCAUUACCAAAAACUCAUAGUGGCUGUGAUGCAUUUGACAUUCUAAUUUAUGAAUAUUAUUCUUAGGAGAAUUUGGUGAUAGCUCGGCCGUAAAUCAAACUUAAAAAACAUAGUAACUCCAUGUAAUUUAUUGAAUAGUUUCUCUAUGACCAGCAUUUGAAAUUCAUGGAAAAUCAUUGUAAGAUUCAGCAUGUGAUAAUGUAUGCAAAAUUACAAUUCACUUGAUUUCUUUUUGACCAUAAGAGCUAGGCUCAAAAAAGGUGAUGUUUAAGUGAUAGAUGAUACCUAAUUCUAGCAUAUUUUUGACCAAUUUUUUGAUCUCUAUUUUCUAAAAAUAAGGAUAUCAAAAAUAGUAAUUUUUGAUGAAUUGGGAUUUCAUCUUUGAAAGGUAUUUUUUGAUCAAUAUCCUUUUAUAGAAGACAAGAAGAUGGUGGCUGAAAUGGUUGUGGAAAUUAAUGUUAUAAGUUGGUUAUCCAUGUCAAUUGUGAUAGCUACUUCAUGCUUUCAUCUAGUUAAUACAAUUUGAUCAAUACUUGCUAACUCUUGGAGAUCUUUGUAAGAGAUCACAAUGAAAUUCCUCUAAUUUCAUCUGGCUUCGUUACCUACAUGGUGACAAGUCCAUUGGUAGAUGGAAAAGAUCAUAAUCAGGUCUUGAAAUUAAUAUUCACUCUCCUUUGAUCUUCUAGUUAUUCUAACCCCAAAAUAAUGUCAAAGAAAAUAGGGGUAGGAGUAGAAUUUUUCACAUGUGACAGUUUUCAAGAUCUAGGGUGAGCUGUUGGCAUAGCUUUGAACUUUUGACUAGUUCACUUGUCCUUAUUGUAACCAAAUAAUCUAAGGUCAUUAGGACAUGUAAUUGUAAGGAUUUUACUCACAAAAUUAUGUGAUGCCUCUGUUCUAUCAACACUUAUAUCAAUUGAUUAUUAAGUGUCAUUGAAAUUUUAAAGAGUACUUUGGUAGUUUUUGCAUAAGAAAAUUUAAAGAAAUUUUUAGAGCUGUAAUAUCUUCACUAGGUUAAUCAAGGAUCUAGUCGUCUGUGGAUAGGUAGUUUUCAUCCUCUAUCACUGACAUAUUAAUCUCUUUAUGAUAGUUGUGUCCUUGGCCAUAUUUUUCAUUACAAUAGUAAUAGAGUCCCUAACUUUGAAUUCCCAUGAUUGAUAAGUUUAGUUUUCUUUUCUUACAUUGUGGUCUAAUAUUUAAUGUUUCUAUUGACAUUCACACAAUUGUAUUUGAUCUCUAAAAUGAUGUAUUGUGUGAUCAAAUAUUCUAUAUUGAUGAGGUUUUUUUGAAAAAGUUUCUAUUUGUUCUCUCCCAUCAACUUCAGCUUCAUCAAAUUCUCUAAUUUGAUUGAUCUUGAGUUCUACAUCUUUGGUGAUUCGCAUGAUGAAGGUCAGUCCUUUAGAAUCAAAUAAAUUUAAUUUUGCUUGAAUGUCUAGGUGUAAGCCUUUUUAAAAAGUAGACUCUAAAAUAUUCUUAGGAAAUGUCUCUUGUUGUUUCUUCCAUGUCUUCAAAUUUAUUAUGAUACUUAUCAACUAAUCUGAUUUGUUUCAUUUCUAAGAAUUGUUUCCCCAAUGAAUAAUGUUUAGCAUUAUAUAAAUAGUCUUGUGUUGUAUAUCGUAAAUCAUUUCAAUUUUUGAAAGAAAAAUUUCAAUCUUCUUAUAUAAAUCACUUAAGGACUCUACCUUUAAAGCUUAAUCCAGCUGUCUAAUAUUUCUUGUCUUCAAACAUUGAAAAUAUUGAAAAAUAGAGUUUUUCUUGGCAGACCCAUCUCUCUAGAUCUUCACCAUUGAAAAUUAGGAUAUCAAUUUUCUUUCCUCCACACUUUCCAUUGAGAUUUGGCCCUUGGUUGUGCAUUGUCGUUGUUAGCUAUAGAUUUUUCUUCUACAACCCUCUAAUUCCUUAUUAUAUUUAACAAUUUUUGAUUUCAUCUUUAGUUGAGAUUCUUCGAAGAAAUUCAAAUCACUAGAGUGCAAAGGUAAUAUUAUUUGAUUUUGAGCAUCUCGCUUGUGUUAGUUGAUAAGGUAGCUAUUUGUUGUAAAAAAUCCUACUAAAUUUUAUUAAGUUUUCAUUCGAAACAACCUAAGUAGGGCUCACUUGAUUUAUUAGGCAUAAGUGGCUUUGACAUCACUUCAGAAGAUUUGUGAUCGAGGCGAGCAAUAAUAGUGAGAAUUAUUGUAAUUUUUUUUGAAUUCUUCUCUUAUUUUGAAAAGAAGGUAUAGAAAAAGAGAGUAAAACAAGGGGAGGGUUAGCCACUUUGAGAUGGUUAGUGGCUUGUUCUCUUAAUAAUCCCCUCUUCCUCAACAAUUCAUUUAUUUAUUAUAUUCAGAUUUUUUCCAGAAUUCUCUCCAAUCAAUUGUUAUUAUGGUUUGCUUUUCUUAUUGAAGGAAUGUUUAUGCUCAUUGUAUCUCUUUAUCAUCUUGGGCUUGUCCCUCUAUAGUAUCUCUUUCUCAUUCCUCUAAGAUCUCUACUUCCUUACACUUCUCUUUUUUUAUGGAUGAUGAAAUAAUAUAAGGAGUCCAUCAUACUAUCAAAAGAUGAGUUAUAUGAUUGCUAGAUAAACCUCCAUCAUCUAUUAUCCAUAUUUUAAUGAGUCUCCAUCCCUAAUGAUCCUCCCCAACUUAUCUCUUACUCCAUGUGGAGUACCAUGUCACACUCUAUUGUUAAGAGGUUGUAGUGGCCAGAAGUACCUACAUCAACAGUAAGAGGACAGUUAUGUCUUACAAAGGCAACAUAGUUAAUAUCAUUGCUCACUAGUACUUAGGUGGAGUUGACACUACCCUCUACGGCCAAGUGACCCACGUCAAAAGAUUAUUGAUACUAAUUUUCUCAAUGUUAUCAACUAAUUGUCACUACCAUUGAAAUAAAUCCAAGAUGGGUGGAUGUUGUGCUACGUUGUCGAAAUGACAACAUACUAUCCAAGCCCAAGCUCAGUGAAGGUGAUUACUAAGGAGAGGGAGAAUUGUCUCCAAUUAUAGAGCCACCAAGUUGCACACGAGGGUCAUGAGCUUCUUCUACACCCUAAUAGCCAACCUACCGAGAGCACAAUUCAUUUGAUCAUAAGAAUUCCCUCAUUCCUUAGAUGUGGCAAAUCUUUCAAGCCAUAUGCACCAAACAUGAUGAUGGCCUUACAAUUGAACACGAUAUAGGCCAACAUAAGGAAGUAGACUUAGAAGUCCUCUAUUGAUCAUAAAGUCACUAGACCUGCCCAAAAUUAGAAGGCUUUGCUUACUAUUAAUGGGCCUUCUUUUUAUUAGGCCCCCUAUUCUUCUUGUUCCCUUGCUUAUAUAAGACAUGAACCCCCAAUGUUGUGUGGCAAAGUAUUUAAAUUAAAAUCAUGUCUCUUUGCUUGUGUGGUGUACAUGUGUAGCUUAGCUGUGAGAAUUGUCAUGUGGCUUCCCUUUGAUUGUUGAAGAGUGCUUGUGUAACUUCCCAAAAGAUUUUGUCCUCAGUCGGGUUAGUUGGAGGAACUUGUUACUCAUAGUUAAAAAUUAUACUAAUAUCAUUGCCUCUACCAUUGCCUAUCAUCAUUCUCUCCCAUUCUCACUACUACCACUGGCAUCUAUUACCACAAAUCUACCAUUAUCACCACUAUUGUUCGUUGCCAAUUCCAUCAGCUCAUCGUCAUCAUUCAUUGUCACCUUGCCCUACUACUACCUUUGCUACCUUCAUUGCCACCAUCGCUACCACCCUCACCUACUAUUGCCACCAUCAAUUGUUGUCACCUUCCACUUCCAUCUACCUUAGUCGACAUCCCUCCAUAGAUAUCAACUAUCACCCCCACUCUUCCGCCACUGGCUGCCACCUUUGAUGCCCCUCCAUUAGCAUUUGCCAUCAACACCCAUCAACCACCUACUGCCACUAUAACCAUAACUGCUUGUUUGGUCUGCUACUAUUGGGUGUGUAUUUCCUUAUUCGAGUCAUCAAGUGACUUGGUUUGCACCCUUGGUCUUCAUCAUCUCCUUGAGCCAAGGCGCCAUGUGUCAUCCAUAGGGAUUAGCGGUCAUUGUCUCAAUCAAAUUUUAGCUGUGACCUAAACUUAGACUGAAGUUUGAUUUGGUCAUAGUUUGGUCAAGAAUUGAAAAACCUUGACUUAAUUUAUGACCUAUCAAAAUUUAAGUAUAUAUAUAUUUAAUUAGAUAUAAUUUUUUAUAUUUAAAAAUAUAAAAAAAUCAAAUAACUAACAUGUGGGAGGAGCCUAUGGUGGGGGAAGAUCCUACGGUGGGAGGAGUUGACAGCAACAAAAGAGAAGUCUACAAUAGUGGUGGAGGAACUUGUGGUGACAUAAGAUGCAUAAUAUGGCUGUGGCAUAAAAGAAGUGUGCAAUGGUGGUAGAGGAGCCUAUGGUGGCGGAAGAGGAUGCACGACGAGGGAAGAUCCUACACUGAUAGUGAAAUAGAAGCAUGCAAUGAUAGUGGAGGUGCUUGUGGUGGGGGAUGAGGACCCACAAUGAGGGCGGAUCAUGUGCUGGUGGUGAAAGAAGUGCGGUGGUGACAAAAUAGAAGCCCAUGGCAGUGGAAGAGGAAAUAUGGUAAGGGAGGAUCGUGCAUCAAUAAUGAAAGAGAAGCAUGAGGUAGCAGUGGAGUAGAAACUUCUGGUGAUAAAAGAGGAUGUAUAGUGAAAGAGGAUCCUACAUCGACAGUGAAAGAGAAACAUGUGGCAGUGACAGAAUAGAAGCUUGCAAUAAUAGGAGAAAACCUCAUUAACAAGGGUGAAGAGAAAGAGGGAGAGAGGGGGUUUAGGUCUCUCACUCACAAUUGUUAGAUCAUUAGGUCCUUUGGUCAUAAGUCUUUCAACUAUGAAAAAGUGUGACCAAAUUGAAAUGACAAUCAUAGCUUUCCCACCUAAUUGUCAAUCUCAAUUUUAGUCUAGUCAACUAAACUUACAUCAUGAUUGCUAAUCCCUAGCCACUCACAACCCAAUAAGUAGUCUAUGUCAAGACAAUGGUCAACAUAAUAGUCAAUGGUCAACCACUCAGUUAAUAGUCAACUUUGGGUCUAGGGUCAAUGAUUAAUUCUAUAGUCCAAGUAUGUUAUGGUGACCUCUUUAAUAGUUAAUACUCUAACAUCUUGUACUUAGCCUUACCUUUUUAAUAUAUUCAUCUUGUGACUAUUACCAAGUGAUUGUAGUAAGAUAGCCACUUUUACAUUGUGCGAUUAUGUACAUGUGAUUUUGUCACAUUUGUUUUAUUAGAUUUUGAGCACCAUAUUACUAGUGGUUUGCCUAAAUCGAUCGGUCCUUGUCUGCUAUCAUGAUUGAUGAGUAUAGUUUUUGAGUUGCUAUGACUUCUAAAUCAUCCUCUUCUUAGAUUCUUUGGACAUCUCUUAUAUUUUUUAUUUUCAUUUAUUAGCUCCUCAUUUGUCUCACUUAUCAUCCUUAUUACUAUCAAACUCAAGUGUCAUGGUCGAUUUCUGUAAGGUCAUUUGCCAAACUCCAACUAUUCUUGAGCUCUCCUCAUCAUCAUAAUCGUGCCAUUUGUCAUUGCCAUCCUCUAUUGGUAAAGGAGAGAAAGGGGUCAAUACUAUGAGUCCUUGACAACCUAGAUCUAUCGUGAAUCAUUAUAUUUGCUCCAUCUUCGAUAAUUAUUACUAUUAGUCCUAGUAUGCUCAACACUCUGAUGUUGAUGUCACCAUGUUUAGUUCCUUCUACAUAAGCAUCCAUUCUCCUCUCAUGACAUUGUGGUGUCAAACAAGCAUACCUUUUCAUGAAGAGUGUUGGUGUACUACCUUACUAACCUUGUGAGUGUAGGGUCAAUUAAGGUGGCAAUUGCCUUACCGUUGGAUUGAUAUGACAAAGGGAGACGAAGGGUGGGUGACAAAGAAGAUAGGGAGUCCUUAUUAUUGGUGGUAGAGGGCGACAUUGGAUGAGCUAUCUGGUCAACUAUUGGAUAUUAGUAAAAACUAAAUGCUUUGUUUGAGUUGCCAACAUGUUGAACAACAUAUGGUUUAAAGGGAUAAGGACCCCUAAAAUAUUAAAUAAUUUUUGCACAUAUGACUAACUUAACUUCCAACAAUAAACCUAGGGGGCUUUCGCAUUUUGCAUCAUAUACAUUUGGAAUGGGGUGAAAUUGCAUCUUGAGGAAAAAGAAAUGCUUAAUUUAAUUUUUGAGGCUCUAGUGUUUUUUUGAGCAUUCCUUUUGGUAGAGGGGACAAAGUUGUCUAUUGUUCAAUUAUGGUCGGCUCAUCAUAUUCCCAUAAUUAUACAUGUUAUUGAGUAUGUAACUUUUUAGACCAAAGCCCGAAGAGGUUUAUCCUCAAUGAUAAGUAAACAUGCUCAUUCUAGAAUAAAUGGCUAAAGAAUAGUAUAGAGCAUAAAUCCCCUUUUAUACAAACAUUCAAUAUAAAACGUCACAUCAAUUUAGUUCACAAAAUUGAAAACUAUGAUAAAAAAUGAUAAAUCAUAAAUAUUAGGUAUACAUAUGUUAGUGACAUCUAGGGGACCUCUUUGGGCUCAUUGCAUGUUUAUGAGGCAAACCAACUAUCACCAGCCAUCAACACAUGUCAUCAUCUAUAAGGCAGCCAUCAUCAUAGAUCUAAUAUGGUCCUAGGAGGAUAAUACACCUCACUAUUUAUUGAGAAAUAGAGGUAUAACUAUUUAAUGAAGAAAAAAAUACAGUAGUUAAUGGAGUAAAAGAACCCAAGGUCCCAAGGAGGGAGGUAUUAGAAUCUUGAUUUCAAUGUUCAGAUAAAAGUAAAUGAGGUUUCUCCAUCUUGAUGUGUCUCCUUUUUCUUUCCCUCCCUAAACCCUUUUUUACAAAAGAGGUAGAGAGGAGAGAUUCAGAUAAAUCUAAAAGAUUUACCAAGUUUGACCCUACCAACAUACAAUAUCUAGGAAUCAUUUUCUUCUUGGCUUCCAUUAUAUUAGUUACCAUAAAUCCUAAUUUUUAUUUAACCUGAUCAACCCUCAUAGAAUUUCACCUUAAAAUUACUAACAAUUGAAAGAUUUUAUUUGAUUACUUGGAAAAUAGUUUUCAAUGAUUAAUAAAUAUUUCAUUAUAAAUUUAUCCACAUAAAAAUAAUGGAAGAUUUCAUCAUGAGUUGAUUUUAGAAGAAUAUAUUACUCCAAUACUUUUACUAAUUAACAUCCUAGAAGAUUUCACAAAACCUUUUGUGAAUUAGUGAUUGCCUGAUAAUGAGCAAGGAAUAUCCGUCUUUCUACUAAAAUAAAAAAUAUGCAUGUUCGAUGAAAUGGUUGUUGCUUUCUGCUCCAAUAUGAUGAGUAACUUAGAAAUUUGAUGAAGCAAAUGAUAAAUGUUGAAAGUAUUAUUGUGUUGACCAAUUGAAGGAUGAUGUUAUGGAAUUUGAAUUUAUUUUUUUACUUAUUCUUCUU
rnacentral:lncRNA from 1 species